rnacentral:lncRNA from 1 species
UGAUUUUGUACUUUCUCACUUUAGUGCCCUGUGGUUUAAAAUGUAUCAAGUUAGUACUUUGUGCUUUCAUUUUUCUCUUUUCGUCAGCUCCUCCGUUCAUAUUUCGUUAAAUUAUAUACAAAAAACUUGAGAUAUAGUACCAUUUAGUUUUAACUUUGUGAUUGGUUUAACGAAAAAAAAUAGUGGAAUGGAUAAUAAAAAAAAAAUUACAGAGUACUAAAUUGAUAUAUUUUAAACCAUAGAAAACUAAAGUAAGAAAGUGCGAAACCAAAAGAAUGAUAUUUAAAUUUUAUUUUUUUUUUAAAAUAAAAUAUAAAAAAUUUCUAUAAAUAUCUAUUUUUUCUCUCCUUCUGAGUUUUAGACAGCUACAUUUUGCUCUCUUAAACUUUAUAAUAUUUUUAAGAAAUAUAGGUGUCAUGGAAAAAACGAAAUGAAAAAUUAUUCCUCUUUGUUCUAUAGCGAAAUGAUCCAACUAUAUAUAUAUAUAUAUAUAUAUAUAUAUAUAUAUAUAUAUUAGUAUAGUAAUAUAUAUAUAUUAUAAUAUUAUAUAUUAUAUAUAUAGUAAUAUACUAUAUUAAAAGCACGUAUAUUCAAUUUGGGUCUUUCGACAGAACACAUUUUUGGAAAUUAACGCUUUUCAGCUCUUUCCGUCCGAAAAAUUUUUAAAUAUAAGAAUAAAUAGAAAUAAAAACAGCAAUGAAUAACUAAGUUCUUAUAACAGAUAGAUGUGAAAUUAAAAUAUAAAUUUUUCUAUUUAAUUGAAAAAAAAAAAAAAAAAAAAAAAAAAAACAAAAGUAAAUUUGUUCUAUAACAAAUUAUGGGGUUAAAACGUUAAAAGAUAUUUUUCUAUUUUAUUUUAAUAAUAGUCUUUUUAGAUAUUAUCUAUUUAAUUUCAAAAUAAUAUUCUUUUAAUGAUAAAGAUUUUUUUUUAUUUAAUUCAAAAAUUUAUUUCUAGCAAUUUUAAUUUUUUUUAUUUAAUUUCAAAAAGUAAUUUUUGCAUUAGAGAUUAUGUUAAAUUAUUUAUCAUUUAAAGGAUAUCUUUCUAAUAGCGUGAUUUAUUAUUUAAAUUGUUUUAGAUAUAUUUUUUGGCAUCAUAUAAAAAUAUGCUAUAAUUAAAAAUAAUUUAUAAAAAUUAAUUUGCUAAAUUAUUACUGUAUUUGCACGUACAUUUUACUAGUAUAUAUAAUAUAUAUAUUAUAUAAUAUAGUGUAAAAUAUUUCCGUACUUUAGCCAAAAAAAAAAAAAUGUUGAGAGGAUCUCCAUACAUUAUUUACUGAAAAAGAGAAAAGAAAAAUUAAUGCUUCUCCCUAAAUGGUGGGGGAUUUGUUGGUGGAGAUGAAAAGGGGGUGUUGGCCUUCUCAGCUUAAUUACAAACAAGUGCUUCAGAAAACCCACCAAGAAGCUUGAGACAGGGCGGUACGCUGCGUGCCGUUCCUUUUUGUAAUGGGGCACUUUUUUACGUAGUGGGAUCCAAAUUACCCAAAUUACCCCUAUGUGAAUAUUUUUCCUUAUGUUUUAAAACCGGAGUUGACCUAAUCUGUUGGAAUAUAUGAGAUUCCAUAUAGCCCUAUAUAUAAGAUAUAAUAGGGCUAAAACUUUUAACCCAGUUAUAAUAUUUUGAACGGCAGUUAGGACCAGUAGAUUAAGAGAAUUAAGGCCAUGUUUGUUUCAACGUAAGUAGACUUGGGGCGGAAGUAGAUUUUGGGUUGAAGUGAAGUUUAGGUGAAAAUUAAUUCACUUCCGCUAUUUGUUUCUAACUAUGGAAGUGCAGUUCUGUGAGUACUGUUGUUUGUUUGGUAGGAAGUAGAUGACGUAAAAAGUGUAGAUCUCCACCCCCGGUAUACUUACCUCCGAAGUGAUAUUAUUGUUUAUUUUAUAACUUAGUGAAUAAUAAAUUAUAAUAAAUAAAAAUUAAUAUAAUUAUAUAUGUAUAUAAUUAUAUAUAUGUAUAAUUAUAAAAUAAAAUUUUAAAAAUUUAUAUUAUUUGUUUGCAUAUAAAUUAUAAUAAUGCAACAAAUAAAAUUCUAAAGUUAAAAAAUUAUUAACAUUUAACAAAUUCAUUUUNCGGUAUACUUACCUCCGAAGUAAUAUUAUUGUCUAUUUUGUAACUUAGUGAAUAAUAAAUUAUAAUAAAUAAAAAUUAAUAUAACUAUAUAUGUAUAUAAUUAUAUAUAUGUAUAAUUAUAAAAUAAAAUUUUAAAAAAUUAUAUUAUUUGUUUGCAUAUAAAUUAUAAUAAUGCAACAAAUAAAAUUCUAAAGUUAAAAAAUUAUUAAUAUUUAACAAAUUCAUUUUUCAUCAUUUUCUAAAUAUACAAAUUAGGCAAAAAAUAUAUUAAAACUUAUCUAACUAAAUUUGAUCACAUUACCUAACCAAAUUUAACAAGCUUUUUUGCCUCUUUGCACUUCACCGGAAUUGACUUCGCCCUGUGGGAGGACGAAGUCAAUUACCCUAUUUUGGGUGAACUCGACUUUCGGCCGUAAUAAAAUUACGAUAAAACAAACAACGGGAGUGAUAGUUUACGGCGUAAACAACUUUCCCCCUCUCCACUUCCCUCUCACUUUCACCCAAACAAACACACCCUAAGCGUAUUAGCAUUAGAGAAGCUCUAGGAUGGAUGACUCCCUGAAAAUUGGAGCGUCAUAAUUGAUAUCAACGCUAAUUGUCAGCCCCAAGUGUGAGAUGAGUCGACUGAGCCGGGUUAUACAGUCCGGAGAGUGGGGCUCUCAUAUUGAUGACUGUUGUGGGUAUAGCGCAGCUCCCCCACAAGUUCGGUUAAGACUAGCGAGCCGAGUCUCGUAUCUUCUGUUACUUAUGAGUCUAAGCCUGACGAGAAUAUCAGGGUUUAAAGGAGGGGAGAGAAUGUGAGACCUCAGAUAGUUCAAUAUAUAAGAUAUAAUUGGGUUAAAACUCUUAACCCAACUAUAACAUUUAGGGCGGUGGCUAGAUUCAAGAAGUUAAGAGAGUUACGCAUGUUAGGAUUAGAGUAGUACUAGAAUGAGUGACUCCCUAGAAAGUGGGACAUGAUAGAAUAGUCAAAUCAUGACUCGCUACGCAAACCGGUUCUAUUCAACCCAUAAAACAAGCCUUACUUAAAACCAACUUUGACCUGUUUAGAUCAGUGGUUCAACAGUGAACCGAUGAACCCGCUCGAUUUUGCAAGAACUGACCAGAUCUUUUUUUUAUUUUAUAUUUUAAAUAUUAUAUCAAAAUAUAACUUAUAUUUUGGAUGUAUUUUUAAUUAUAUAUAAUAUAAUAAACACAGAAUACUAUUGUGAGACCCCAGAUAGUCCUAUAUAUGAGAUAUAAUAGGGCUAAACUCUUAACCUGGCUCUGAUACCACUUUAAUCUGUCACGCCCCGGGGUCCCUUUCAGUUUAAAAAAUUUCGACGCGCACGAGCAACACGAAGUUCAACGAAACAGCGCACACUGAAACUAAAACACAUGUAACUAACUCAUCCGGAGCUCUCUGACCCUACGUGAGGUGAGCAUUGUGAUCAGGACUGACUGAAGAUCACCGUGCUCACCUCCGGGGGCAUCGGAACAGCCCCGGGUCGAUAUUGCUCCGAAAGGUGAGCAUGGCCUCCGGCACGUCGAAACCUGUCGGUGGGUAUCUUGGCUCGGCUGAUUGACCUCUGGUUUGCGUAGACGGACCAUAAAAGCGCCGAAAUCGCAUGAAAUAAUGCGAUUUCGGGUAUUCGGAAGGGCUUUUAUGCAACUUCGUCCGUCGUGGCUGCUGUUGGCAGCAAGUAUGGGCUGAGAAUAACCUCCAGACUGAUUGUCCAAGGCCCCGAACCUUUGCGAAGACCGGAAAUGCAUUUCCGGAGCGUUUUUCGGCGAAAUCCGCCGAUAGAACGCGUUUUCGAUUCGGAAUUCUUCCGACGGUACUUGGGGAUCAUUUGUUUCAUCGCCGAGCCUUGUUGGCUGGUCACCCGCAUCGUUUCGUGGGUUUGGAAACGACGGGUGAGCGACGGUGAAGUUCCGGUGCAGUUUUCGGGACUUUCGGUUUGUCCGGUAAUCGGUUUUGGGAAAUCGAUUCUCGUGGGUUUAUUUGUGGGGUUAUGCUUUUAGGGUUUCUUAGUUGUGGGUUAGACACUAACCCAGUGGACCCCCUUAGGUCCUGUUGACGUUCUUUUGCAGUCAGGAGACAGGCGCGACAGUUGUACAGGUGGGUACUUCGAUCCGACAUUGGUACACUGGUGCACGCUCGGUGACGUUUCCUUUACCCUUGUUGCUUAUAUCUUUUACCAUAUAUAUGUUGAGCCUUGCACCCAUGCUGUUUCCUUAUUACUCUACUUAGUUGUUGCCAGGUGUAGUAUCAUGUGUAGGAGUAGAGUAGACUUUAUCUGUAUAUGAUAUUUAUGAUUUGGUUGGUCUUGAUCUCCUAUGUGAUCUCCAUGACCUUGGGUCGCGUUUGCAUCUCCUACACUUGUGACCUGUGUGGUGUUUUCUUGUACCUCGAUAUCAGUGACAUGAUUGCGUCGCGUUCAUAUCCUAUAACUUGUGACAUGAUUGUCUGAGUUCAUUUCCUAUAACUGCGACAUGAUUGGUCGGUUUCAUAUCCUAUACUUAUGACCUAUUCGGUCGAGUUGCUUACAGUUCUAUCUAUAAUCUGUGAUUUGGUUGGGCGGUUCCCCUAUUUUUGAUAUCUAUGACUAUUCGGAUCGAGUUGCUACAGUCUACAUGACAUACGUCGCCGAUUAGUUGCCUGAUGGCCUAUACGGUCUGGUGAGCCCUGAGGGGCUGGAUUGUCGGCUAGUUGCGCAUGGAUGAUCUUUGAGCAUACUACAUUGAUCGCCACUGCAGGUACGCAUUUCACGAACACCAGCGGUCUGAUCCACCGCAGAGGGUGUUCUUUUCCCGGAAAAGUGGUUGGAUUGCCAACCCGUUGAGCCAGGGGCUUUAUUGCGAGGGUAUAUGCUUCUGACCCAGGGGCUUCAUUGCGAAGGUCAGGUACUAUGCUUCUGACCCAGGGGCUUCAUUGCGAGGGUCAGAACAGGUUGGCAGUGUAUGGGCCUGACGUCUUCGGACCAAUAGGGCAGCGAGAUUGGGUACUUUGAUGUUUCAUCAGUUGACGCAUAUGUCUAUAGUGCAGCGUUUGCAUGCAUAUUUACAAGUCCUUACUUUAUAGUUGUAUUGCUACUAUAGUGAUAUUCUUGUAUGCUUUCGAUUUCAGUUACAGUAGCGGUAGCCGUAUUCAAUUAGUCUUACUUUUCUUUCAGUUUAUUACUACUGUAUUCGGUAUAUCUGACUCAUUACUUUACAUAUCUCUUUGUUUAUUGUUGUUCUGCUAUAUUUCACAUGACCCGUGUUGUUGUAUAGCUCUUCCUGAUCCGGUGAGUACUCCUCGCCUUCUUCGGCUUGCGGUACCACUGGAGGGAGACAUGUUUACAUGUUCUCACUCCCCACUAUUUUUCAGGUAUCGCAGGCGAUGUGUAUUGGACGAGAUGUGGGUACGUUCGUAGUGGUCGAUAGAGCUUUCCAACCAGGUUGUUCGGUUUAGUUUCUUACCUUCUUAUUUCGUCGAUGUAUAGUUUAGUUGGUUUAUGUGGUUCAGUUUUAUUUACAUUUGAAAGUGUGGAUUUUCAUGAAUGUAAUAAAGGAUUUCUGGUUUUGGUAAAUAAAGGUUUUCUACCUCUCGUGGUAGCACUUCUAAAGAAUAAGGUUUCCGUGUAGAAACAGUUUUCAAAGGAUUUUUGGUGAUUUCUAUUAAACAUUGAAUGUAAAACUGUGAUUGAAUGGUGAAUGUAUGAAUGUAUAGUUAUCUUUAUACUCAUCUAGUUGUGGUUGUAUCCUGGUUGUACUCUUGUACAUUGUGCGACGCCCGUGCAAUACAGGGGAGACUCUGUCGUGGGAACAAUGGAUCUCCUGUAUUUGUGCGGAUCUGGCAUACUCUGGGGUCAGAUAUAUAUAUAAAAAAAAAAAUGUUCGGCGCUUUUCCGCUAUCUUUUAAACUGAAAGGGACCCCGGGGCGUGACAGAUUAAAGUGGUAUCAGAGCCAGGUUAAGAGUUUAGCCCUAUUAUAUCUCAUAUAUAGGACUAUCUGGGGUCACAAUCUCCCCUCCUUUAAGCCCUGACGUCCUCGUCAGGCUCAGACUCACAAGUACCAGGCGAUGUGAGACUCGUCUCGCUAGCCCGUCAUCCAGACCCUGGCUCAGCCGAGACUCAUCUCACACUUCCGGCUGGUAAUUGACUCUGAUACCAACUGAGACGCCCCAACUUCCCAGGGGGUCACCCAUCCUAGGACUACUCCCGUCCUAGCACACUUAACUCUCUUAACCUCUUGGGCCUUGCCACCACCCAAAAUGCUUAAGCUGGGUUAAGAGUUUAGCCCUAUUAUAUCUCAUAUAUAGGACUAUCUGGGGUCUCACAAUAAAAAUUUCGACGCUUUUCCGCUAUCUUUUAAACUGAAAGGGACCCCGGGGCGUGACAGAUUAAAGUGGUAUCAGAGCCAGGUUAAGAGUUUAGCCCUAUUAUAUCUCAUAUAUAGGACUAUCUGGGGUCUCACAACUAUAUUUUGUAUAUACUUUGUACUGUAAAAAUAAUGACUAAGUAUUUAUGACAUUGAUGUUGUCGAUCAUGUUAAGGAUUUUCUAGGUUGGCGAAUUUCAUAAAGUCGAAUGGAGUCUUGAAGAGUUAAACGUGAAGUUUUGGAAAAGAAGAUUCAUUUGAAGGUCAAGGAUUCAUUCAAAAAGCUCAGCACCUCAGGUAUGAAGUAUAGAUCAUUUGUGGUGAAGUUAACUGAUCAAAAUAUGUUAGAAGACUUGGAUUGCAUUGUUAAACUCAUUCUGGACUUUUUAGUGUUCAAGGACCGGUCCCUGAGAUGAGAGACCGGUCCCAGAGGGUCCUCUUUGCGUGAAAUGUUGAGGCAACCGGUCCCUGGAAAGUGAGAUCGGUUCCCGAACGCUUGAUUUUCUGUCACACAGUGAGGGACCGGUCUCUGAAAUGAGAGACCGGUUCCCGAAGCCUGUGUUUUCAGGCACGCAAUCAGGCACGCAACGAGGGACCGGUCUCCCACUUGAGGGACCGGUCUCCCAAAGACCGGUCUCCUCGAGAGGACCGGUCUCUGAGGACGACGUAAGUUUUUAAAAUUGUAGUUUUGCAAUCCUAGUCUACUUCUAAGUCUUCUAAAUCUAUAAAUAUGAUAUGAGGGUACCCAUAUGAUGUAUGCUUUAAGAGAUAAUGUUUUAGAAACUUAAAAACUUGAUUUGGAGCUUUUGAUCUAUGUUUUAAAUAUCAAGUUCUUAGAUCAUCGAUUUGAUUCUUUGAUUUCAAUUCAAUAGUUCCUUGAGGAUCAAAUCGAUGAUGUUCUAAGAAGGGUUUCUCCUCAUAUUAUACGUGCUUUUUAUGUAAUCAAAUCACCACAAAUUAUCAAUUUCCUGCGAGCUUCGGAAGGAGUGUUGGGCGCGUGGAUUUCGCGUGAAAGCCGUGGAUUCGGUGAGCGUUUCGUUAACUCGAGACGUGUUUUGCUGUGAGGAUUUGCAGCGGGAUCGAUUGGAGGAUUCCAAGCGAUCGAGGACCGGCGAAGACAAUCUACAACAAGGAUUCGGUAAAUUGAGUCAUGUAUUUUCGUUAAAUCACUUGUACUCAAGUUUUCUUAGUGGAUUUCUUUGCGUGAUCGGUCCCAUGGGUUUUUCUCUCCGAAUUGGAGUUUUUCACUAGGUUCAAUAUUACUCUUACUCAACCUAUGUCCUUGACACUAGGUUCAAUGCCACUCGAUCUAUAUAUAUAUAUGUCCACAUGCACAUGUCAUUUAACAUAGUUCUAUAUAUGUCAACUUACCCUCACUUAGCAUUCUCGUCAUGUCAUCAUUUAUUUUCUUAGCAUUAACCACAUGCUUAUCAUGUAUUUACUUGGCAUUCUUAUAACAUGCAACAUGCAUUCAACUAGCAUUAAUCAAUGCAUUUAUUUAGGAUUUCUAUACCAUGUCAUUCAUGCAUUCUCUUUUGUAUUUCUACUUUAUGUCAUUAGUAUACAUUCUCUUUAGCAUUUACUACAUGCAUCCACUUAGCAUUUACAUGCAUCAAUAUAAAACCACAUUACUCUUAGACAUAACGGCGACCUAGUCGCUUCAGUAAACACAACCCACCUCAAUUCGUACUCCGAUUGCUCGUAGUCACUUGCAAUCGGCCUCCCGAGGCACCCGUGAUCCUGUUCGGCCCGAACUCUCGCGCGACCACCCGGACGGCCUCCAAUCCACGAUCCGAAAAUUAAAGGUCUACGGUUAGUUGCCACGAGCCCACGAUUCCGUUUUCAUGACUUUAGGACGUCGCCUCAGCCCUCCAGGCGGAAACGAAGCCGAAACGUCCGUUUUUUUAAUAUCUUCUCACCGGCUCGACGAAUCGCCGAACUGACUUCGCCAACGUGUCGGAAAACCUACCGAUUUGGUUUCUACAAAGUCAAUUUACAUUCAAACCCCUCUAUGACAAAAGCCCCAAUUUGGAGCCCUAAUAGUGCACUAUAACAACAUAUACUCUAAACCCAUUUAAAUCAAGCGUUAACAAGCAUGAUUUCAUCUAGAGAUUCAUCUAAAAUCAUUCUUAGGGCAAUUAAACCGAAUUCUAAGGUUCCACCAUUAAAGGGUUUGAAGCUUACCUUACUUGAGCCAAUGAAGAAGAAGUAAUAGCUCAACUCCAAACCAUCUUCUCCAUCAAGCUUCUUCUCCAAUUUCCUCUCCAAUUCCUCUUUGGUGGAGAGAUUACAAGAGAAGGAGAGAGGGUGGUGAGCUAGAAGAAAAGAGAGAAAGAGAGAAAGACUCUCCUUUCUCUCUCUCUCGGGUUGAACCGCACAAAAGGGGGAGAUGGCAUUUGUUACACAAAUAGCCCCCCCAACUAUAGCUUAUUUUCAGUUUAGCAGCUCAAUUUAGCAGUUCGGACACGUUGGAGCCCUUCUGAACGUCCGUUUGCGCUCAAAUUUGACAGUCAGGCUCGGUUUUGCUUACUAAGAAAGAAUAUAUGUUAAGUUUUUAGUUUCGACCACGUUUGGUCACCGAAAGCUCUACCGAACUGUAAUCUCUAGCAGAUAGCAGUCGGAUUUUAUUUUCCACCUUCCGGGUGUCAGAAUGGCAUGAAACUUUAAAUCUAGUCUCAUAAAAAUAAUUCUGACAUAUUGUUCAGUUUUCAUAAUUUUCUGACACUGUGUAUUUUCUGCUAAAAUAUCAGCCCCAUCUCUCACAGAAAAUUCUAAAUCUUUUCUUUUCGUUCCGAUUUCGGCACAAGUCAUUUCUAACUUAUAUUUUACUCCACUAAAUCUAAUAAAAAUAGUAUCUCACACUAUUUUUAUUUAUUUUUUACUUUUAUAUCAAAAUCUGAUAUGUCACAAGCCCAAAGUUUACCAGUACACUUCCUCGUGUCACCGGUAACACGACUGCGCAGAGACAAAACCCGAGAGCUGCUUCUCGGUUUCGUAGCCUUUGUACCGGUACACUUUCAAUGCUGUACCGGUACACAUUGCUGUACCAGUUACAACUCGAUGGUUGUACCGGUACACUUUGCCGAGACUUGGUUUUUGGUUCCGUUUCGAUUCUAUUUCGCGCCGAACAACGCUAAAACAUUUCCAACUCCUUCUAAACUCACUUUUAACCCUUCCAACCUUGUUGGAAUGUUAAAUAGAACUCGUCCAACCAUUUCAUUCGCACGCUUUAGUCAAUUUGACUAAAGUCCAAUAUUUUCUACCGAAGUUUCGGUAUGUUACAAAGGCCUUCUCCUAGAUCUCCUUCUUCUUCUCCACCUUUCUUUCCUUCUUCUUCUUCCUCUUCUUCUUCUCCUUCUACCUUGCUCAAGAGAGGGAGAGAGAGAAAGAGUUUAGUGAGAGAGAGAAUGUGAGAGUGAGGGUGAGAAUGAGAGAGAGGAGAAGGCUCAGCCCCUCUAUACCCCUCAACUCAUGGCAUUUUGCAUAAAAGCCCCUCCACUUUACUUCUCUCAACCUGCCUUGCCUGGGCAAUUUUCGCGCAGAGGGACCGGUCCCUCAACGGGAGGACCGGUCCCCGAGAGCAAUUUCCCGCAACACGCGUACGGGAACCGGUCCUUGCUCGAGAGACCGGUUGCAUCGGGUGCCUGCCGCAACCCUCAGCUACGGGAACCGAUCCCUCCCACCAGGGACCGGUCCCCGAGAGCAGUUUUGCGCAGGGCUCCCCUCUGCCAGAAUUCCUGCUUAAGGGAACCGGUCCCUGCCGCUAGGGACCGGUCCCCGAGAGCAGAAUCUGCCAAGUGUAGAUUUUACAUUAUUUGCUCUCGCAGACUCGACUCCAAAGCACUUUUUGUGUUUUGGACAUCUUUAGCUCCUCCAAAGCCUACCCACUCGACAAUUAGUCGAUCCUGUACGAAGUCCAACUCUCCGAUUUCGAGAAUUCACUUCCUUACAUCCUUCCCUCCUUAAAAGGAGUUUCGUCCUCGAAACCCAUUCAACUUAAUUUAAACUCAGUUUCUAUACCUUAUUCCUCAAACAAGUGAGGAUGAUGCUUUCUCAUUAGAUCCUCGAGUUCUCAGGUGGCCUCGCGAUCAUCAUGAUUGCUCCAUCGGAUUUUACGUAGGGAAUCUCGCGAUUUUGCAGCUUUCGCACUUCUCGGGCGAUAACCAUCACCGAAAACUCCUCGUAGCUCAAGUCUUCUUGGAGCUCCGGCGGCUCGUAUAGCAUCGCGUGCUCGGGGUCAUGAAUAUACUUGCGAAGGUUGGAGACAUGGAACACUUUGUGUACAUCCACGAGCUUCGGCGGUAAGGCAAGCCGAUAGGCCACCGUGCCAACUCGCUCCAAUAUCUCAUAUGGUCCAAUGUACCGGGAACUUAACUUUCUCCGCACUCCAAACUGCUUCACACCCCGCAUUGGCGAAACUUUUAAGAAUACGCGGUCACCCACCGCAAUUCUAUGUCUCGACGGCGCCUAUCAGCAUAGCUUUUCUGUCUCGACUGCGCCGUGAGGAAUCGCUUCUGAGCAAAGCGGACUUUCUCCUCCGAUUCUCGCAACACGUCUGGGCCGAACUCUGCACGCUCACCCACAUCGCUCCAGUGUAUAGGAGACCGACACUUCCGCCCGUAGAGGGCCUCAAACAAUGCCAUCUCUAUACUUGCAUGAUAACUGUUGUUGUAGGCGAACUUGGCCAUCGGCAAAUGAUCACACCAACUCCCCUUAUAGUCGAUGACACACGCCCGCAGCAUAUCCUCCAUAGUUUGAAUGGUCCUUUCUGUUUGCCCAUCUGUCUGAGGAUGGAAUGUUGUACUAAAAUCGAGCCGUGUGCCAAGGGCUUCCUACAGGCUCUUCCAGAAGUGUGAGGUAAAUCGGGGGUCGCGAUCCGACACGACCGAUUUCGGCACCCCGUGUAACCGAACUAUCAUGUCAAGGUAUACCUGCGCCAACUUGUCACCUGCCCACGUGGUGUGGAUCGGCAAAAGGUGAGCCGACUUCGUCAAUCGAAUUACCCAAAUUGCAUCAUGGCCGCCAGUUGAGUGAGGCAAACCGACCACGAAGUCCAUCGAUAUAUCCUCCCAUUUUCAAACGGGGAUUGGUAGGCUUUGCAGUUUUCCCACUGGAAAUCGACGCUCCGCCUUCACUUGUUGGCACACUAAACAUUUCGCCACGAAGCGUCCAACAUCACCCUUCAUUCCAGGCCACUAAUAGUGCAUUUUCAAUCCUUGAUACAUUUUGGUGCCGCCCGGGUGAUCACAAUAAGGCGACCAAUGUGCCUCUUGCAAGAAUAACCUUCGAAUCUCCUCAUUGUUCAGCACACACCAUCGAUUUCGAAAUCGAAGUGCACCAUCGGCGUUUAUUGUGAAAUCGCUGCCACGACCCUUCUCGGUGUCGCGCCGCACCUUUUGGAGUUCUCGGUCUGCGAGUUGCAGAUUCUUGAUCCUCUCCAAUAAGGUCGGUUGGACAACGAGUGCCAUCAUCUGAGCUGGAAUCUCGGGAGUAACCACCUCAAGGUUCAUUCGCUCCAUGUCCAGCCAUAGGGGUGUUUGAUUUGUAACCCACAUAGCGAGUUUCUCUGCAGACUUUCUGCUCAAUGCAUCCGCGACCACAUUCGCUUUCCUCGGGUGGUAAAGGAUAUCCACAUCGUAAUCAUUUAGUAGUCUAACCACCGCCGCUAUCGCAUGUUGAGCUCUUUCUGUGUAAACAGAUAUUUUAGGCUCUUGUGGUCGGUAUAGAUCUCACAAUGGGCACCGUACAGGUAGUGCCUCCACAGCUUCAAGACGAAGAUUACCGCCGCUAGCUCCAAGUCGUGAAUGGGGUAGUUCUUUUCACAGCUCUUUAGCUGACGGGACGCAUAAGCAAUUACUUUCCCGCCCUGCAUCAAAACACACCCCAAUCCUAGAUAGGAAGCGUCGUUAUAGACCACGAAGUCUUCACCCUGCACCGGUAAAGCGAGCACUGGAGUCGAAGUUAGCCUUUCCUUCAACUCUUUAAAACUCCGAUCGCACUCCUCGCUCCAAACGAAUUUAGUGCCUUUCUGAGUCAGACGGGUAAGUGGAAUUACUAUCUUUGAAAAGCCUUCCACGAACCGCCUAUAGUAGCCAGCCAAACCCACGAAGCUUCUAACUUCCGUGACGUUCGUUGAGCGCGGCCAAUCCUUGAUUGCCUCAACUUUCCUCGGGUCUACUGAAACUCCACCCCCAGAAAUCACAUGCCCUAGAAAUGAGACUUCUUGAAGUCAGAAGUCACACUUUUUUAACUUAGCAUAUAGCUUCUCCUCCCGAAGGACUUGAAGCACAAUCCUCAAAUGCUUGGCAUAUUCCUCGUCACUGCGAGAAUAGACCAAUAUGUCGUCUAUGAAGACCACGACAAAUCGGUCCAGGAACUCUCUGAAGGCACGGUUCAUCAAGUCCAUGAACGCCACUGGAGCAUUCAUGAGUCCAAAUGGCAUGACCGUGAAUUCAUAGUGCCCGUACCGCAUACGGAACACAGUUUUCUACAUAUCCUCCGGCUUGAUCUUCAACUGGUGAUAGCCGGACUGCAAAUCUAUUUUUGAGUACACACGACCCCUGCAACUGGUCGAACAAAUCAUCAAUUCAGGGGAGUGGGUACUUAUUCUUGAUCGUGACCUUGUUCAACUCUCGAUAAUCCACGCAGAGUCGAAACGAUCCGUCCUUCUUUCGUACAAAUAACAUCGGGGCUCUCCACGGUGAUACACUUGGUCGGAUGAAUUGCUUGUCGAGGAGGUCCUGUAACUGACUCCUCAAUUCUUUCAGUUCCGCCUGCGCCAUUUGGUACAGAGCCUUCGAGAUCGGCGCAGUGCCGGGAAUCAAGUCUAUGACGAACUCGAUCUCCCGAUCUGGCGGUAUCCCCGGUAACUCCGCGGAAAACACAUCCGGGAACUCCCGCACCACGGAUAACUCCUCCAGGUUCGGAGUCACUCGAUCUACUUCUACAAUAGUUGCCAAGAACGCUACGCAACCGCUGUUGACCAACUUUCUUGCUCUCGCCGCCGACACCGUCGCGGCGAAGCACGAGCUCUGACAAGCCCGAUAAGUGAACUCCUUCUGUCCUGGCUCACGAAACGUAAUCACUCUGCUCUUGCAGUCGAUCGUUGCGUGAUACUUCGAGAGCUAGUCUAUGCCCAGUAUGACAUCGAACUCUUUAAGAUUCUUGAGCUCUAGCAUCCUAAUGGGUAUUAUCCAGUCGCCUACUUGUACUGGACACGAUGAGCAUUCCGUGUAGGCAUUAAAUGUCGACCCAGGGCCCUCAACUCGCCACUUGUCACUCGCCUCUAUGAGUAUGUCAUGCAUGCGUGCGAAUGAUCUGCUGAUGAACGAAUGUGUGGCACCAGUAUCAAACAUAGCCCUGGAGCGAACUCCGUUAAUCAAAACCAUACCUGCCACAAGGCGAUGCUCCUCCGCCUCCGUGGGCUCCUCGGCUUGAACCUGAGCGGCAAAUACACGUCCGCUCGGGGCCGAUCGCGCUAUCUCGGGCUGGCGCAACAUCAUCGCACGUCCCGCCGACACGGCCGUUGGUGGAACUCCUCCAUAGUAGGCCGAAAUCGUCAGCGCCGAUGCAGUGGAUGGGGCAGGUGAGGAUCUUCCUCCUGGGGAAUCCCGUAUAAAGUGCCCCGGUUGCCCGCACUUGUAGCACUUGCCUUGGCGCUGCUCACAACGCGACACCAGGUGGUCUCCACAACAUAUGACGCACCGUCGCGCUCCACUGCCCUUUGGCUGAGUCCGCGGAUACUUCGGGGGCUUCUUGGAACGUGCUUGUGUCACGCCCUGGAUUUCAGCAGAAGCUCACCAGUCACGUGCACAGACCCGCCGUGUACCCCACAACUCAAGUAUACACCAGACGUCUACAAAUAGUAUAGUAAAAGAAUUCAAUUCUAAUUAGGUAAUCAGAGCAAAACUUAAGAGUUUAAACUUAUACAAUUCAAAACCUUAUUACAGUAAAUAAGAACAAAGUACAAUUCACAUAAUCUUAAUAUACAUCACUGACUAAUCUAAUAACUGGUAAAGAUCUUCUAUUUAACAUCAAGAAGGCUCUAGCUAGCCGCUGACCCCUCGCCCGGAACCCUAGCCUUUCCCGCUGUGGAAGGCUCUGUAAAAACAACAACAAAGAGGGUGUGAGAACUAUUAAACAAUAGUUCCCAGUGGGUAAGCCGCCGAGAGUGGCGAAGUACACCACUAGGUCAACUGUGGCAUGAGUUAAUAGCAAUAAAGAAGCAAUUAAAUGCAACAGGUAUGAAAGUAAACUACUCAUGCUAUUUGCUCAACAAUAAAUAAAUAUCAACAGGCUGCAGGUAUUAGUUAUCAUGAUAGAUUCUAUCAUUCAUAGUAAUUGAUAAUUAACUAGGCAUAUACCAGAUUGUAUGCAUGAUAAUUCAUUUUACUGAAAUCACUGAUAAUAUCAUAUAAUAACCUUCUAUGUUAGCAAUAAUGAAACAUACUGUCAUUGUAUUACUAAUCAAUCACGAUGUCAACUUCUAGGUUACUCAUCAAUAAGCUUACUUUAAAUGUCAACUUUCUAGCACAAUCAUCAAUAAGUUACCUUGACCAAAGACAUAAAGUAACUUACUACUAUGUCCAGCUAAGGUUAAAGUACUAAUCAUAACCCAAUUUCCAACAGACUUACACAAGGUAAGUUUAAAGCCGCGCCGUGCCUAAUGGCCCCGUGGUAGUAUACCCUCCCCACGGCAUUCCACUUCGGCGCUCACUUCGUACAUAAGUGAGCAUCUGUCGCUAAGCUACUCCGGAGUGCUGGCUUGGGGGGCGCGACCCCCACAAGCGUGUGCGAAAGAGCACAAUGGCAUACAAGCUGUAAUCCACGGCACAAAUAUCACAACGUCAUCAUGUCAGCAUCAUGUCUCUGACAUGGAAUCUCAACUCGACCCAAGGUCGACACUGUAGUGCCCAAUCGUAAGUCACUAUCCGCAACUUGUUGACAUGAUUCUACCCAUAGCUAGUAUAACUUAAUAAGUUUAAGCUUUACAUCAUGCUAGUGGUUCUAUCAGGCUACACCUGGUCACUCACUCAUAAUCCCCUCACUACUCCUUAUACAUAAGGAAAGUGGUUUACUAAAGUCAUACUCAAAGACUCAUGGCACAUAUCCUGUAGUUCAAUGUAAACCUCCACUACUUAGAGUAAACAAAUACUAUGUAAUUACAUCUACUUGGUUAUACAGUUAUGUUAUCAUAUCCAAAUCUAGUUAUUGACUAGAUUACAUUCACUUGUAAUACAUUCAAGUUAUAUCAUAAUACUAAAUUCUAGUUACUUAACUAGAUCAUAAAACAUAACAUGAAGUUCAGGCCAAUUUAUCAGGUAAAAGUAGAAUCCAACUGGUUAAUAUAAAUAAGCAAAAUACUCGAUAAAAUACUUUUUCACAUCAUCUCAAUACAAUUCAUUCUACACUAUGAACGUAUACUCAAGCGAGCUCAUUUGCACGAUGUGUUCAAAGUACAGCCAUCGUGCUUACAAUAUAAACUUCUAUAGUGUAAUUCCCAAGUACAUCUUAUGCUUUACUGUCCAACUGAACUACAUAUUACAUUCAUGAUUUUCACGAUUAUAUUCUCUUGAAUGACAUCAAGCUCACAUGCCUAUACAAAUUACAAUAUCAUGAAUGCGUAGUAAUCAAAUAAGUGACUAUGUAGAAUGAACAAGUCAUAAGUCUUCCUCUACUGCUUAGAGGUGCUAUUAUAUCCGAUGUGAUAUGUAUAUAAUGCAUGUCUCAAUUCCUUAAACUAUACAUAUAUUCAUGAAUAUGUAAUAACUUCAACUCAAAAUGUCAAAGGAGACAUAGGGGGAAUUCACCCAUUUCGGGAAGGUCCGACCCACCGAUAUACGACGCCUCUUGUCGAGUUAAUAAGCUCGGGGAAUCUGAAGUCUUCAAGUCCCCUAGAUUGAGAUACAGUCGAAUCUACUCUUCAAUCUAGGUAAAAGUACUUAGUACUAAGCUCAACCAGCCCAAAGGAGUCCCGAAAUUCAACUCACUUGAUUCUCAAACCUGCUGUAAACUAGGUAUCAAAAUCGCAUUGCAACUACGGCUACAAUGUCCAAAUUGGCAAAAUCCUCACCUUAUACAAGGUUAUAGCUUGAAUCCCUGAUUUGGUUCAAGUUGUUACAUCGAAGUAAAUCUUCGAAAGCUCUCGGAUAUCAGCUGAGAACCAUUCGACAAUCUGUCGUAAACCUGCUGCGAACAAUGUUCAGAAAUAGCAUUAGUAAUUCGUAAUUGAGGUUCUAUUUCACUUAUAUCAGUUUCUCACUUGUAUCUCGGCUUCCUGCUGAUUGAAAUAUCCUCAAUUCAACCCACCACUGCCAAGUAUUCAGCACCACGUGAGCUUCCAAGCUGCUAUAACAGAAUCAGAAAAACAACAUCACAAUUCCACUAAUAACUCCACUAGAACAUAACCCUAAGGUCGAUACUCAAUUGCUCACCUGUUUAAAACUUAAUUCCAGUUUUCCCCUUGAUUCGAGUGGAGUAAUCCCCAGCCAAAACUAGUUCUACUGCGGCUGCCACUCCCCUUGCCAACUACAACAAGGAAACUUAUUCUUAAGUUAAUCCAUUACUACACACACAAGAAUUUGGUAAUGAAUUACAUAACUUACCUUUCCCAAACUUCAACAUAGAUAAUCCUAGGAUUAAGGUUGAUGAAGCAUCAACAAACUCUUCAUCUACUAAGAAAAAGGCUUCUCCAAAUUCUCUAAAUCAGCAACCUUCAAAGAAGGGAAAGAAAUCAGCUCCAACUCCUUGCUUUCCUCUUAGAGAGAGAAGAAAACCCUAGAGAGAGAAGAGAGAAGCUUCAAAUCUGAUCCUCAGGGUCCUAACACCCCUUAGGUACCCUCUGGAGCCGAGCAGGGGUGUUAGAGAUAAGUUUGGAGAGUAAAAAGACCAAAGUACCCAAGCUGCCACGCAGCUGCUACCUCUGCUGCUUUCUGUACCGGUACAGCCUGAAGGUUGUACCGGUACACCAAUGCAAAAGUGCUGAAUCCGCAAGUGCAAUGCACUUUCUUGUCUCCGACAAUCCGAUCCCUCACAAACUUGUCCAUAAACAUCUUUAAACUCUUUAAAACAUGUAGGGAGGUUCCAAAUGUUAUUCCUCUCACUCGAACUUCGUAAUUGACCAAAUUCAGAGCAUUGCAAUAGAAUUGUGCAUUUGCGAUGUACUUUUCCAUUUCCAGUUAUCUGCUUGCUCCAGUAAUUCGCUGAAGCCUCUCAACAAUCCUUCAAAAGUUAUAGAAGAGUUCCAAUCAUUAUUCCAACCCUCCAAUUCGUAAUUUGCCGAAGUUCAGUGUAUUACAGCUUGUCCCCCCGAACCGCCGCCUUGACGCUUCUUGCCUUUGUCCUUGGACUCGGCCAACAUCUCGUGCUUCUCCCGAACAUGGGCGUCACCGUGCUCCGCCCAGAGUGCUCGGUCGAAGACCUCCGCGAAGGUCGUGAGUUUAAGUAUCUGCACGGCCUUGUAGAUCCCCGGCCGAAGUCCUCGUAAGAACCAGUCGGCCCGAUCCCGGUCAUCUCGUACCACAUCAGGGACAUAGUCAAUGAUGUGGGAGAACUCCUGCUCAUACUCCGCUACUGAGCGGUCCCCUUGCUCCAACUUGCGGAACUUCUCCUGGAGCUUCCGCUUCAAUGUGUCGGGAAAAUAAUUGGCAAACAUCGCCCUCUUGAACUCCUCCCAAAGCAUCGGCAGAAGGCCGGGAAGUCGAUCCCGUUUGACGCGCUUCUACCAGACCUUCACCGCUUUCUCCAAGCAGUGGGUGGCGAGAUACACCCUACCUCUCUCCAAAGUACACAGAUCUUCGAAGAGAGUCUCCAUCGAGUCGAUCCAAGACUCGACCAUCGCCGGCUCCACCUUCUACCCCUCGAAGAUGGGUGGGUUGAACUUCUUGAACUUGAUAAGAGCCGUCAACGCGCGCUCUCCUUCCACGUCUUCGGCCGUCACAUCGGGUGUCGCCGAUCCCGACGCCGCCUGAGGAACAAUUGCUGGCGGUGGACGUGCCGUCACUGGGACAGCCGCUAUACCCUCACCCUCUGCCGCUUCGGGUACACGAGUCGAGGGUGCAGGCGGGCCACCGCCUUCAGUCACCGUCGCGGCCGCUGCCGCAACCUGCCGUUCCAAGAGCUCCUGGAGCCGCUCGAAUCGGGUCUCCUGGCGCUGCACCACAUUGGUCAAUGCGGCCACUUGUGCCUACAACCGAUCCAUCACACUCGGUUCAGCCUGCUCGGGCACCUUAGGAGGCAGUGCCGGAGUAGAUCUCGUACUCGGGCGUCCCCUUGGUGCCAUUUGCUCCUGAAACGCAAUUACUUGGUUAGUUAUCUUAACCCGUUCGCUUCAUCGCAAUUACGACACAUAACGACCCAACAACAAAAAUCGGGCAGAAGCACACAAGUGUCCUCAUUCUAGACUCUUGGCGUCAUGUCGUCGGCCGCCGGCAUAACCACCUCAAGUCAAGAACUAAUACCACUUGAAUCCAUCUCUAGUAACUACUAGAGAUAUGUCAACAACUUAGACCCAAUCGAACUAACUCCCGCCACCGUUACAAGUUCACGUUCCACUCACGCACCUACAGCCUUAGGGUUUACCAACCUAGGGUCUCCUAGGUCAUCCUAGACUUUCUCUCUUUACUUGAUCUUAUUGCUCUGAUACCCCUGCCAAUUUGGCACGGUUCGGGCGCGGCGAACGGACGCCGAACGGGCAGCAACUCUUCUGCCCGCCCAAGGCUCACAACCUGAUCAUGUACAAGAAUUUAUCCAGAAAAAUUAAAUUCAUACAUACACGAUCAACGGGGCACAAAUAGUGCCAACAACGAAGAGCAAAUAAUCCACAAGAUACACAAGUGAAAUAAAGAGAGAACUACUAACUAUUACAUCACAUUUGCAUUCUUUAUACAAUUACAUUUUCUUUCCCAAAAUGAAUAGAUGCUCAUCAAGUACAUGGCUCUCCAAAGUCCUCACCUACAUGAAUCUCUCUCAAAUACAUAGGUGUGCUAAUGCAAAAGAAAAGCUACUACUCUACCAAUAAUCCUCACUGGUCGGGCGCGAUGCCCAUGCCACGGCCCUCGCCCGGCAAACCUGUACCUAGCCCUGGAAAUAAAGUGGGGUGAGAACUAUCUUCCAUAGUUCCCAGUGGGCUCGGCCGCCGACUCCGUCGAUCUCCCCACUAGGUCCAAGUGUGCAAAAGUAACAACGGAACAGAUAGAUAUAUAUAUCAAAGCUGUAAAGACAUAAUAGAAAAACUAUGCUACUAUACCCAUAAUCAUGUGAAAUGAAUGCAUGCAUUAUUUAGUAAAAGUUUACUAUCAUGCUAACAAGUUCGAGCCAUAUUCGAUAAGCAAUGUUCGAUGACAAUAUUAACUUUUCAUUUACCCAAUCUGUGGCGAAACCCUUGGGUUUGCCUACGCCUCACAUAUCCAUCCCAUAGGGUAAGGAAACUCCACGUGCCCCCGAACCCGGGACUGUCUGCGGACAUCAACUCUGUCCUAAUCGCCCGACACUCCGGAGUACUCGACGAUAAUUCCUCUCCAUGUGAGGAUAUGGAUGGCUUUACUAUCCCGAAUAACAGACCGUGAGCUUGAUCUAUCCUCUCCACGUGAGGAUACCCUACGAACUAGGGCCAACAUUCUCUCGGAACUCAUCUAUUCUGACAUUCAUGCAUAAUUACUUAGCUAUACUAAGUUCAUUGGUCAUAAGUCAUUUACUAGGAAAACCACCUAUCCCUAAGUUCAUGAACCUCUAGUGUCAAGUACACUACAUUAAUACCACUCUCUAUGUCACUGAAUAACCAUCGAGUUCAUCUAUUUUUUUUGGCACUAUAGGAUCUAUGUUCCGACUCAAUCCUUACCUAUCCAUUUCACCAAGUAUUCCAUGCACACUAAGUUAACAUUUAGAAGCAUAAGAAAAAGGUACUACAAUGUAAUCCUAUAAUGCAACAUGCAAUAGAAGAAAAUCAUGUAUUUCUAAGACAUAGAAAAGAGCUCGGUUGCUUCGGGAUGACACCCCCACCUUUUGAGGGUACGAAGGUUCUAGAAACACUUCCCAACGAAUGUUACGACGAGGUCUCGGCCUCCUUGGUCCAAAACGGUACUCAAUCGGCUAUAUUUCGCCGAUAGCUUUUCACUCGCUCGACGAAUCGAAAAUCCGAUUUCGCCCCCGCGUUUAGACACCUAUCAAUUUGGUUCACAAGCUAUCAAAUGAGAUCAAUCUCAUUAUUUAUCAAAUACCCCAAUUUGGAGCCCUAGGUUUGUACCAAUAGCAAACCACCAAUAAAUCCCUAAAUUCUAGCUUAAAGCAUCAACUAAUCAUGCUAGGGUUCCAUUUGACCCAUUUCUAAAGCUAGAAAUCCAAAACCCUAGGUUCUACCAUUGUUAGGGUUCAAGAGCUUACCUCUUAAGCUACACCAAAGAGGAUAGGAGAGGGAGGUGAAGGUGUCCAAGGCCUUCUCCUAGAUCUCCUUCUUCUUCUCCAUUUUUCUUUCCUUCUUUUUUUUCCUCCUCUUCUUCUCCUUCUACCUUGCUCAAGAGAGGGAGAGACAUAAAGAGUUUAGUGAGAGAGAGAGAAUGUGAGAGUGAGGGUGAGAAUGAGAAAGAGGAGAAGGCUCAGCCCCUCUAUACCCCUCAACUCAUGGCAUUUUGCAUAAAAACCCCUCUACUUUGCUUCUCUCAACCUGCCCUGCCUAGACAAUUUUCGCGCAGAGGGACCGGUCGAUCAACGAGAGGACCUGUCCCCGAGAGCAAUUCCCCGCAACACAUGUACGGGAAUCGGUCCUUGCUCGAUAGACCGGUUGCAUCGAGCGCCUGCCGCAACCCUCAGCUACGGGAACCGGUCCCUGGUGGAGGGACCGGUCCUCGAGAGCAGUUUUGCGCAGAUCUCCCCUCUGCCAGAAUUCAUGCUUGCGGGAACUAGUCCCCGCCGCCAGGGACCAGUCCCCGAGAGCAGAAUCUGCCAAGUGCAGAUUUUGCAUCAUUUGCUCUCGCAGACUCGACUCUAAAGCACUUUUUGUAUUUUGGACAUCUUUAGCUCCUCCGAAGCCUACCCACUCGACAAUUAGCCGAUCCUGGACGAAGUCCAACUCUCGGAUUUCGAGAAUUCAUUUCCUUACAGACAGACAGGGGAGAUGCUGUCCGUUCGGCGUCUGUUGACGUGACCCGAACCCGACCAAAUUGGCGGGGAUUGGGGCGUGACAUUUGGGGUCCUGCUCCUAUUUCUACACGUAUUGGUAAUCGAUACUAUGUGAUCUUUUGGAUGACUAUUCUCGUUUUACCUGAAUAUAUUUCAUGAACAACCGGUCUGAACUAUUGCAAAUAUAUAAAAAUUUUACAGUUAUGAUUCAAAAUCAAUUUGGUACAAAUAUUAAAAUAUUUCGUUCAGACUCUGGUGGUAAAUAUCUCUUCUGAAUUCAGACAAAUUGUUGCAAGUCAAGGCACCUUACCUCAGCUUUCUUGCCCAUAGGCUCAUAAGCAAAAAGGGUUGCUGAAAGAAAGCAUCGUCAUAUCAUGGACACUGCUCGGUCUCUUCUUUUUUAUGGUUCUGUUCCUUCAAUUUUGGACCGAUGCUGUCAAUACAGCUAUUUACUUAAUCAACAUUAUGCCUUCUAGUGUUGUUUCAGGUGUCUUUCCUAGUGCGUGGUUGUUUGCCAAGCCUCCUUCAUAUGAUCACCUGCGAGUCUUCGGUUGCACUUGUCUUGUUUUGCUACCUCCUCACGAACGAAAUAAAUUGUCUCCUAAAUCUGCUAUUUGUAUCUUUCUAGGGUAUAGUCUUGAGCGUAAAGGGUAUCACUGCUAUGAUCCUAACACGAGACGUCUUCGAAUUUCUCGUGAUGUGAUUUUCUUUGAGCAUCUUCUCUAUUAUGCCCAACCCGCACAAGCCACUGCAAUUUCUCCCUCUACCCAUAUCGAUUUUUUUCUUUUUAUAUAAUUCUUUUCCAGUGUAUUCCUCUUCCCAUGAGAACUCUAUCUCUCCUAAUACCUCUCUUGCAGAUGAAAGUGAAGUUCAUGCCUCUCAUGAUGGUCCUUCCGUCGAAGCUCCAUCCGACAAAUCUCCGACAUCCGUGCGUCGCUAUCCCCUUUGAGAGCGCCAGCCCAAAAGGUUCUUUGGUUGUGUUACCUCACAUUCUCUUUCUCUGCAUUUUCAUACCUUUCUUGCUAACCAUCCAUACUCACCCGGAACCACGAACAUACCGCCAAAGUGCGACCAUUCUUGAGUGGCAAGAUGCUAUGUCUGAAGAACUUAAGGCUCUCAACCACACCGGUACCUGGAAGCUUGUUCCCCUUCCUCCAGGAAAGGUUUCAAUCAGUUACAAAUGGAUCUACAAAGUUAAGACAAAGUCUGAUGGUUCUAUUGAUCGCUCUAAGAGUCGCUUAGUUGCUCACGGCUUUACUCAAGAGUAUGGCAUCGAUUACGAGGGGACAUUUGCUCCGGUUGCUAAAAUGACAUUCGUUCGCGUUCUUAUCACUGUUGCUGCCUCUCGUGGUUGGCUGUUAUAUCAACUUGAUGUUAAAACUGCUUUUUUACAUGGUGAUCUUCACGAAGAAGUUUACAUGCAACCACCUCCUAGCCUUAAUCAUCCGCCUGGUCAUGUCUACUUACUUCGCAAGGCGUUGUAUGGUCUUAAACAAGCUCCUCGCGCUUGGUUUGAGAAGUUCUCGGCUGCCGUUAUCUCUGCUGGUUUUCGUUAGAGUGAGAAUGACCAUGCAUUUAUUACUGUUUUACUUCUCUACGUUGAUGAUAUGAUUAUCACUGGUGAUGAUCCCGAUUUUAUACAUUUUACCAAAUCUUUCUUUCAACGUCAAUUUGAAAUGAAGGAUCUCGGGCUCCGCCAUUAUUUUCUAGGUAUUGAAGUAGCCUACGAUUCUAAAGGCUAUCUACUAUCUCAACGGAAGUACACAGUGUAUCUCAUCUCUUGUGCUGGUCUUACUGACAAUAACACAGUAAAUACUCCAAUGCAUGUCACGCCCCGCCCCGAAUCCACUACCAAUUUGGCACGGUUCGGGCACGCCGGACGGACCGCCGAACGGACAGCACCUCUCCUGUCCGCCCAAGGCCAAGCAACCAGAUCACGUACAAGAAUUUGCCCAGGAGAAUAAAUUCAAUAUAUACAUGAUCGACUAAGGCACACAAGUGCCAAGUAACUAAGAGCAAGAACCACAAGUGGAUGUACAAGUGUAUAAAGAGAGACAGUCUAACUAUUACAACCAUUCAACAUUUACAUCAUUGAAUAUAUUACAUUUCCACCUUCCAAAAUCUAAAUACAUGUUUUCCUCAAAAUAUAUAGGUAGCUCUCCAAUAUCUAUCCAAAAUAUCAUCUAGUACACGAGGGUACUCUAAUAAAUAAAAGGAAAAGCUACUAACUAAGCUCACUUAGGGUGCUAAGCCCUUGCCGCGGUCCCCGCUCGACUCGCCUCUGUGUGUACCUGUACCCCAAAACCACACGGGGUGAGAACUAUAUAAAUAUAGUUCCCAGUGGGUUCGGCCGCCAACGCUGCUGGUUUUCCCACUAGGUCUAAGCUGGCACAGAUAGAGAGAUAGAUAGAUAUACGUAGAAAAUGAACUGCAACUACUCUAUCAUGCCAUCAAUGAUAAUAAUGGAUGCAACAACUACUAUCAUGCUAGUAUCAUGUCAUGAGUAUAUAAAGGUGCAUAGUAAUGUAAACUACAACAUACACUAUGUCUACUCAAGGCAAUAAUGCAAGUCUACUAUACAUUUCAUGUUUAUUACCCAAUUUACUUGGUUAACCCGUAGGUUAAACCCUCGACUCACUCUCAAUCUCAUAGGUGAGGAGAAACUGCACUCGCACACCGAGACCGUCUGCGGGACAACUACGUCUGCCCCUAGUGAAGUACUCCGGAGACUCGUGCCUCGGUGGAGCGACCACCGACAAGCAAAAACAGACUAGUUAGUAUGAUCCAAUCCUCACAAAAGGAUACCCUGUCUACUAGGGUCAAUGUGCCUCUGCUGCACAAUCAUGAUAUAUAAUCCAUGUCGGGACUUCUACUAUCCCUAAGUUCAUGUCAAGUUUACUACACUAGACUCGAUGCCACUCAUUCGAUCAUUGUAGUAAGUUUUCUACUAGUUGACAUGCCACUCGUUCAAAUUUAGUGUUUCUACUACACUAGUUCAAUGCCACUCUACUAGACUAUGUCCAAGUUCGGCUCUCUAUGCCGCUAUAGGAUUCUAUGUCACAAGACCCAAUCCUCAUGCUAUCCUAGUCCACGUAUCAAGCUCACCCCGCUACACUACUAAGUAAGCAUGCAAGGAAAUGGAAAUGUACAAUUACUAUAUCCUAUAGCACAAUAUGAUCAAUAUAAAUACUUAGACAUAAAAAGAAACCCGGAUGUUUCGAGACGACACCCUCCACCUCUUGGUGAUGUCUUGAAGCUACGAUUCCGUUUCCAAGAUUUUUGGAAGCUUUCGCCGCGUGCUGUGGCAAUCUGUACCCUAGCGGCUUAGAUCUUCGAUAUCUCCGCGUACACUCGUCGGAUUGCCGAACCGAGCGCACCGUUGUGUCGAAAUACCUACCAAUUAGGUUAGAUGAUGGUCAAAUGAGAUCAAUCCUUUACUUUUCCAAAAACCCUCUUUUGGUGCCCUAGGGUUAGCAUCAAGCUAAACCCAUCUCAAAACCCUAGAUUCUAGCUCCAAUCCUACCAUUCAUUGUGCUAGGAAUCCAUUUGAUCCCAUCCAAAGAGCUAAAACCCAAAAACCCUAAAUUCAUAAGCUAGGGUUGGAAGCUUACAUCUAGGUUAGCUUAAAAGAGAGAGAAGAGGAUGAGGGCGAAGUCCAAAAGCUUGCUUUUGUUGGUCUCCUUCUUCUUCUCCUUCCCUUUCUUCCUUCUUUUCCUUCUCUUUUCCUUUUCUUCUUCUUCUUCUUCUUUCCCUUCUAUAGAGAGAGAGAGAGCAAGAGAGUGUGAGGGGGAGAGAGAGUAGAAUGAGAGAGUGAGAGGGAGAGAGGGGCUAAUAAGCCCUCUAAUGUAACAAUAUCCCAGCAGCCCCCUCCACUUUUCAUCCUAUGCACUGCCCCUCACUGGGCAUUCUGCGCCCAGAGGGACCGGUCUCCCCGACUUGGGACCGGUCCCCGAGAGCUUCAGCUCGGGUCACGCGUUCGGGUACCGGUCUCUCCCAGAGAGACCGAUCCUCGGGAGACCGGUUCCUUCCUGAGAGACCGGUUCCCGAGAACUGGGAUUUCAGGACUUAGCCAUAUUUUGGCUUUUCUCGCUGGUCUCGCGUUCGGGGACCGGUCCCUCACUGCCAGGGACCGGUUGCCUCAAGCAACCCCGCAACUCCCACUGAUGGGACCGGUCCCUCCCUGCCAAGGACCGGUCCCCGAGAGCAGUUUUGCUCUAGUGCAGGUUUUGCACUAUUUGCUCUCGUGGACUCGUUUCCAAUGCACUUUUGGUGAUUAUGAUAUCUUUGGCUUUUCCAAAGCUCACCAAUACGACCCUUGGUCGAUUCUGGAUGAAGUCUAAUCCUCGUAUUUCGAGAAUUCACUUCCUCACAUCCUCCCCUCCUAAAAAGGAGUUUCGUCCUCGAAACGAAUUUACUAUUUUAAUCAACUCCUACCUCAUUGCAUUUCUGUAAAGAGAUGAGGAUAGUGCGCUUUCAUCGUUUCCUCGAGUUCCCACGUGGCCUCACGAUCGUCGUGACCGGUCCAACGAAUCUUCACAUAGGAAAUUUCAUGAUUUCUCAAUUUCCGCACUUCUCGAGCAAUGAUCAUCGCCGGGAACUCUUCAUAGCUUAAAUCCUCUUGUAGAUCCGGCGGUUCAUAGUACAUCACGUGCUCGGGAUCGUGGAUAUACUUGCGAAGGUUAGAAACGUUGAAUACAUCAUGCACACCCGCGAGCUUCGGCGGUAAUGCAAGUCGGUAUGCUACCGCUCCAACACGUUCCAACGCCUCGAAAGGUCCGAUAUAUCGGGGACUUAGCUUUCCCCGCACUCCGAAGCGCUUCACACCUCUCAUAGGUGAAACCUUCAAGAAAACGCGGUCACCCACCGCGAAUUCCAAAUCUCUACGGCGUUUGUCAGAAUAGCUCUUUUGCCUCGACUGUGCCGUAAGUAGUCUCUCGCGAGCGAGAUAGACCUUCUCUUCUGCCUCCCGCAAUACGUCUGGGCCCAAUGCCGCAUGCUCACCCACAUCGCUCCAACAUAUAGGAGAUCCGCACUUCCGUCCAUAUAGGACCUCGAACGGUGCCAUCCCAAUGCUAGCUUGAUAACUGUUAUUGUAGGCGAACUUGGCAAUCCUCAAAUGGUUUGCCCAACUACUCUUGUAGUCAAUGACACACGCCCGCAACAUAUCCUCCAGAAUCUGUAUAGUCCUUUCUGACUGUCCGUCUGUCUGAGGAUGAAACGCGGUGCUGAAAUCGAGCCGUGUGCCAAGUGCUUCCUGCAGGCUUUUCCAAAAGUGCGAAGUAAAACGGGGGUCUCGAUCUGACACGAUCGACUUCGGAAUCCCGUGCAACCUCACAACUUCAUCCAAGUAUACCUGCGCCAACUUGUCGCCCGACCAGGUGGUGUGAAUCGGUAGAAAGUGUGCCGACUUGGUCAUACGAUCCACAAUCACCCAGAUCGCGUCGUGGCCACCCGUCAAACGGGGCAAUCCGACCACGAAGUCCAUCGCUAUAUUCUCCCAUUUCCAAACGGGAAUAGGUAAACUUUGGAGCUUUCCCGCUGAAAAUCGGCGCUCAGCCUUCACUUGCUGGCAUAUUAAACAUUGCGCUACAUAGCGCCCAAUAUCCGCUUUCAUGCCCGGCCACCAGUACUGCAUCUUCAGAUCACGGUACAUCUUGGUGCCGCCCGGGUGAAUGCUAUAAGGAGUCCGAUGUGCUUCUUGUAAGAUCAACUUCCGGGCCUCCUCGUUUUUCGGUACGCACCAUCGGUUCCGAAAUCGAAGCGCACCCUCGGCGUCUAUAUUGAAAUCACCGCCGUGUCCACUUUCGAUGUCUCGCCGCACUUUUUGGAGGUUAGGGUCUGCAGGUUGCAAACUCUUGAUCUGCUCCAACAAGGUCGGUUGGACAACGAGAGCCGUAAGCAUAGACGGAAUUUCCGGAGCUACCACCUCUAGAUCCAAUCAUUCCAUCUCUCUCCAUAGUGGUUCUUGACGUGUGACUAACAUAGCAAGAUUCUCCACUGACUUCCUGCUAAGCGCUUCGGCCACCACGUUUGCUUUUCCGGGGUGGUAUAGGAUUGUAACAUCGAAAUCCUUUAGCAACUCAAACCACCGCCGCUGCCGCAUAUUAAGCUCUUUCUGUGUGAAAAGGUACUUCAGACUUUUGUGGUCCGUGUAUAUCUCGCAACGCGCGCCAUACAGGUAGUGCCUCCAUAGCUUGAGGGCAAACACUACGGCGGCCAACUCUAAGUCAUGGACAGGGUAGUUCUUCUCAUAGCUUUUCAAUUGACGGGACGCAUAAGCGAUCACCUUCCCGCCUUGCAUCAGAACACACCCUAAGCCCGAUUGUGACGCGUUGCUAUACACCACAAAGUCUUCAUCUUGCACCGGUAAGGCGAGCACCGGAGUCGAAGUUAAUCUAUCCUUCAACUCUUGAAAACUCCGGUUGCACUCGUCAUUCCAAAUGAACUUGGUGCCUUUUCGAGUCAGAUGGGUAAGUGGACCCACGAUCUUCGAGAAUCCCUCCACGAACCGUCUAUAAUAACCCGCUAAACCUACAAAGCUUCGAACUUCCGUGACGUUAGUCGGGCGAGGCCAAUCCUUGAUCGCCUCCACUUUCCUCGGGUCAACAGAUACUCCUCCCUCGGAAAUGACAUGCCCAAGAAAUGCAACCUCUCGGAGCCAAAAGUUGCAUUUCUUAAACUUAGCAUAUAGCUUCUCCUCCCGGAGGACUUAAAGCACUAUUCUCAAAUGCUCGGCAUGUUCCUCGUCGCUACGCGAGUAGACUAAGAUGUCGUCUAUGAAGACCACGACAAAUCGGUCCAAGUACUCCUUGAAGACACGGUUCAUUAGAUCCAUGAACGCUGCCGGGACGUUAGUGAGCCCAAACGGCAUGACCGUGAAUUCAUAGUGUCCGUACCGCGUGCGAAAUGCGGUCUUUUGCACAUCUUCCGGUUUGAUCUUAAGUUGGUGAUAACCGGACUGCAGAUCGAUCUUUGAAUAAACCCGAGACCCUUGCAACUGAUCAAACAGAUCGUCAAUUCUCGGCAACGGGUACUUAUUCUUGAUCGUGACCUUUUUCAACUCGCGAUAGUCGACGUAGAGUUGAAACGAUCCAUCCUUCUUUCGCACAAAUAGAACCGGGGCUCCCCACGGCGAUACACUUGGCCGUAUAAAUCCUUUAUCAAGGAGAUCCAAUAAUUGAGCCCGCAAUUCCUUCAAUUCCGCCGGCGCCAUCCGAUACGGAGCCUUCGACACAGGCGCGGUUCCUGGAACCAAGUCUAUCACGAACUCGAUCUUCCGGUCUGGCGGCAUUCCCGGCAACUCCGCGGAAAAUACAUCAGAAAAUUCCUGAACCACGGAUAGUUCCUCAAGUGCCGCAGUCGCCCUCUCGACUUCCACAACAGUCGCCAAGUAGGCCGUACAACCGCCGUUAAUCAACUUCCUCGCCCUCGUCGCCGAUACCAUAGCGGCGAAGUGCGAGCUUCUAUAGGCCCGGUAGACAAAUUCCUCUUGUCCCGGUUCACGAAACGUAAUCACUUUACUUCUACAGUGAAUAGUUGCAUAGUACUUCGAAAGCCAAUCCAUUCCUAGAAUGACGUCGAAGUCUUUCAACUUCUUGAAUACCAACAUACGGAUGGGCAUUAUCCAAUCGCCCAACCGCACGGGACAAGACGAACACUCCAUACGUACUAGAAAAUCACGUCCGGGGCCCGAUACUCUCCAAGUGCUUUUACUCUCUUGUAGUUCUAUGUCAUGCAUGCGUGCAAAUGACCUACUGAUGAAUGAAUGCAUAGCACCUGUAUCAAACAUAGCCCUAGAGCGAACUCCGUUAAUUAAAACCAUACCUGCGAGUACAUGGCGAUCCUCCGCCUCAGCAGGUUCCUCGGCUUGAGUUUGAGCGGCAAACACCCGCCCACUCAGAGCCGAUCUCGUCGCCUCAGGUUGGCGUGGCACCAUCGCACGUCCGGCCGAUGACGCAGCAGGUGGGACUCCUCCAUAAUGCGCUGGGGUCGCCGGAGCCGACGCGACCAAAGGGGCAGGCGAAGCCCUCAUUCGACAGUGGCGGCUGAUAUGGCCCGCCUGUCCACACGUGAAGCACUUUCCCUCCCGUUGAUCACACAUCCUCGGCUCGUGGUUCCCACCGCAGAUUAUGCACCGCUGCGGUCCGCGGCCCUUGGAUUGCGUUCGCGGGUACUUCGGGGGCUUCCUUGGCCUCGAUUGAGCUCCCGAGCUACUCUGAGCCCGCUUCUUGCCACCGUCCUUCUCGGACGCUUCUCGCUCCUCCCGGAUGUGAGCGUUUCCUUGCUCCGACCACAACGCUCGAUCGAGCACCUCCGCGAAGGUAGUGAGCUUCAGAAUGUGCAACGCCCGGUAGAUAUCGGCCCGGAGCCCUCGCUCGAACCAAUCGGCUCGAUCCCUGUCAUCCCGCACUACGUCGGGGACGCAGUCAAUGAUGUGAGAGAACUCCUGCUCAUAUUCCGCCACCGUGCGGCCACCUUGCUUCAACUUUCGAAAUUGCUCUUGCUUCUUCUUCUCGCUAUCGGGGAAGUAGUUGACAUAGAACAAUCCCCGAAAUUCCUCCCACGUCAUCGGCGGAAGGUCGGAAGCCCGGUUCCUCUUGAUUCGCUUCCACCAAACCUUCGCCGUUUGCUCCAAACAAUGAGUGGCGAGGUAGACCUUGUCCCUCUCUGAGGUGUAGAGGUCCUCGAACAAGGUCUCCGUCGAGUCCACCCAUGACUCGACCAUCCAUGGCUCGACCUUCUCUCCCUCGAAGGUCGGUGGAUUAAACCUUCGAAACUUCUCGAGAGCCGCAAGUGCGCGGUCCCUCUCCGCCUCCAAUGCCGUCGUAUCGGGUGCCGUAGAACCCGACGCCGCCAGAGGAACGCUCGCCGGCGGGGGACGUGCCGCCACCGGAACUGCCGCAAUGCCCUCGCCCUCAGCCGCCGUAGGCGCACGAGCUGGAGGCGGGGGCGGAUCACGGCCCUCAGUCGCAGCUGCAGUUGCCGCUGCAAAAUGCCGCUCCAUAAGCCCUUGGAGCUGCUCAAACCGACUCUCCUGGCGCUGUACAAUGCCUGUUAAUGCCGACACUUGCGCCCGUAACUCCCUCACUUCACUAGAUCCGGCUUCCUCGGGCACCUCAGGAGAUGGUGCCGGAACGGACCUACGCACGUAGCGUCUUGGGGACAUUGUUCCUGCAACGCAACAACCGGGUUAGUCAUCUAACCCACUUAUCUCCGUCGCAUACACUAUAUUACGCGACACAACUCCGCCAUAAGCGGACGUACACAUGUAUUAGUCCUAACUCUUAGCGUCGUGUUGUCGGCCGCCAACACAACUCCGCGACCUUGGAACUAACACCGCUCGGAUCCAUCUCUAGCCACACUAGAGGUCUACACUCGAUCCGACCUAAUCGGAUUCUUCCUCAACCGAUAUAGGUUUACGUUCCUCUCACGUACCUAUACAACCCUAGGGUUCACCGUCCUAAGGUCUCUUAGGUCCAUCCUAGACCCUCUCUUUACUUGCUCUUAAUUGCUCUGAUACCAACUUUCUUUUGUCAUGCCCCGCCCCGAAUCCACUACCAAUUUGGCACGGUUCGGGCGCGCCGGACGGACCGCCGAACGGACAGCACCUCUCCUGUCCGCCCAAGGCCAAGCAACCAGAUGAUGUACAAGAAUUUGCCCAGGAGAAUAAAUUCAAUACAUACAUGAUCGACUAAGGCACACAAGUACAAAGUAACUAAGAGCAAGAACCACAAGUGAAUGUAUAAGUGUAUAAAGAGAGAUAGUCUAACUAUUACAACCAUUCAAUAUUUACAUCAUUGAAUAUAUUACAUUUCCACCUUCCAAAAUGUAAAUAUAUGUUUUCCUCAAAAUAUAUAGGUAGCUCUCCAAUAUCUAUCCAAAACAUCAUCUAGUACACGAGGGUACUCUAAUGCAUAAAAGGAAAAGCUACUAACUAAGCUCACUUAAGGCGCUAAGCCCUUGCCGCGAUCCUCGCUCGACUCACCUCUGUGUGUACCUGUACCCCAAAACCACACGGGGUGAGAACUAUAUAAAUAUAGUUCCCAGUGGGUUCGGCCGCCGACGCCGCCGGUUCUCCCACUAGGUCUAAGCUGGCACAGAUAGAGAGAUAGAUAGAUAUACGUAGAAAAUAAACUGCAACUACUCUAUCAUGCCAUCAAUGAUAAUAAUGCAUGCAACAACUACUAUCAUGCUAGUAUCAUGUCAUGAGUAUAUAAAGGUGCAUAGUAAUGUAAACUACAACAUACACUAUGUCUACUCAAGGUAACUAGUUCAAUGCCACUCUACUAGACUAUGUCCAAGUUCGGCUCUCUAUGCCGCUAUAGGAUUCUAUGUCACAAGACCCAAUCCUCAUGCUAUCCUAGUCCACGUGUCAAGCUCACCCCGCUACACUACUAAGUAAGCAUGCAAGGAAAUGGAAAUGUACAAUUACUAUAUCCUAUAGCACAAUAUGAUCAAUAUAAAUACUUAGACAUAAAAAGAAACCCGGAUGUUUCGAGACGACACCCUCCACCUCUUAGUGAUGUCUUGAAGCUACGAUUCCGUUUCCAAGAUUUUUGGAAGCUUUCGCCGCGUGCUGUGGCAAUCUGUACCCUAGCGGCUUAGAUCUUCGAUAUCUCCGCGUACACUCGUCGGAUUGCCGAACCGAGCGCACCGUUGUGUCGAAAUACCUACCAAUUAGGUUAGAGGAGGGUCAAAUGAGAUCAAUCCUUUACUUUUCCAAAAACCCUCUUUUGGUGCCCUAGGGUUAGCAUCAAGCUAAACCCAUCUCAAAACCCUAAAUUCUUGCUCCAAUCCUACUAUUCAUGGUGCUAGGGAUCCAUUUGAUCCCAUCCAAAGAGCUAAAACCCAAAAACCCUAAAUUUCAUAAGCUAGGGUUGGAAGCUUACCUCUAGGUUAGCUUAAAAGAGAGAGAAGAGGAUGAGGGAGAAGUCCAAAAGCUUGCUUUUGUUGGUCUCCUUCUUCUUCUCCUUCCCUUUCUUCCUUCUUUUCCCUCUCUUUUCCUUUUCUUCUUCUUCUUCUUCUUUCCCUUCUAGAGAGAGAGAGAGCAAGAGAGUGUGAGGGAGAGAGAGAGAGUAGAAUGAGAGAGUGAGAGGGAGAGAGGGGCUAAUAAGCCCUCUAAUGUAACAAUAUCCCAGCAGCCCCCUCCACUUUUCAUCCUAUGCACUGCCCCUCACUGGGCAUUCUGCGCCCAGAGGGACCGGUCUCCCCGACUUGGGACCGGUCCCCGAGAGCUUCAGCUCGGGUCAUGCGUUCGGGUACCGGUCUCUCCCAGAGAGACCGGUCCUCGGGACACCGGUUCCUUCCUGAGAGACCGGUUCCCGAGAACUGGGAUUUCAGGACUUAGCCAUUUUUUGGCUUUUCUCGCUGGGCUCGCGUUCGGGGACCGGUCCCUCACUGCCAGGGACCGGUUGCCUCAAGCAACCCCGCAACUCCCACUGAUGGGACCGGUCCCUCCCUGCCAAGGACCGGUCCCCGAGAGCAGUUUUGCUCUAGUGCAGGUUUUGCACUAUUUGCUCUCGUGGACUCGUUUCCAAUGCACUUUUGGUGAUUAUGAUAUCUUUGGCUUUUCCAAAGCUCACCAACACGACCCUUGGUCGAUUCUGGAUGAAGUCUAAUCCUCGUAUUUCGAGAAUUCACUUCCUCACAAUGCAACUUCAUCAAAAACUAACUCCUACCAUGGGUGAGCCACUUUCAAAUCCUACACGCUAUUGGGAGUUAGUUGGAGCUCUUGUUUAUCUCACCAUCUCUCGUCCAGAUAUUGCUUAUGCUGCCCACAUAGUAAGCCAGUUUGUGCAGGAACCAACUUUUGUUCACUAUGCUGCUGUUUUUCGCAUUUUCCGCUAUCUUCACGGCACUAUUAACCAGAGUCUUUUCUUUUCUUCUACCUCGGAACUUGCACUCCGAGCUUAUUCUGACGCUGAUUGGGCUGGGGACCAUACUGAUCGUCGAUCUACCACGAGUUAUUGCAUUUUUCUUGGUGACUAGCUUAUUUCAUGGCGAGCUAAGGAGCAGAAUAUUGUCUCCAAAUCUAGUGUCGAAGCUGAGUAUCGUACUAUGUCUACUACAGCUUCUGAGAUUGUUUGGCUUCGUCGUCUUCUUGGUGAUAUUGGCAUUACUUGCUCUACUCUGACAUCUCUGUAUUGUGACAAUCAAAGUGCAAUCAAGAUUGAUAAUAAUCCGGUAUUUCAUGAAUGCACUAAAAAUAUUGAAAUUGAUUGUCACUUCGUUCGACAUCAUUUUUUUAAUGGCACACUUGCCUUACCUUUUAUAUCUUCUUAUCUCCAGCUUGCCGACUUCUUCACAAAGUCUCAUACCAUACAACGACAUUAAUUUCUUUUAUCCAAACUUUCGCUGCUUAACUCACCUUGAGUUUGCAGGGGGGUGUUACCAUAUAUAUUACAUACCAUAUAUAUCUUAUAUAUGUUGCCAUAUAUAUAUUAUAUAUAUACCACCAUUUAUAUUAUAUAUGUUACUAUGUAUAUUGCUUUCUUAUUAAGAUAGUAAUAUUUCUAUAUCCUUUUGAUUAUUUCUUUGUAUAAAGGAUACAAUCCUGUACUUUCAUGUGAAACAUUUUUUUCUCUCGCUGUAUAAGAGAAUGGAUUUAGAUGAAUAACAUAGAGAAAAUUUCUCAAUUCUCUUGUUUCACUCCCCAAGUCAAAUUUUAAAUUUUUAAAUUUUAAACUUUAAAUUUUAUGAAUUCUAUGAAAUUUUAUAAUUGUGCAUCCAAACAGGGCCUUACUUUACAAAAUAGUCCCAUAUGAAAUUAGUAAAUAAGAAUUUGACAAAUUGUCUUAUUUGAAGAUUUGAUAUUUGCUAUUGUGUUCAAACUUACAAAUUUAAAGUUUUUAAGCUUAAUAGAUUUCAAUCGAUAUGACACAUCUUUGGCCUCCUGAGCCGUUGAAACUACUAAAAGAUAAAAGUGCUAAUAAUUAUAGUAUUGGGAAAAGCGUCACAAAAUUGUGUUUUUUUGUAUUUAUAUUCCACGCUUCCUAUCAUAUAUAUUUAGGCUAGGGACUUUUUAAUAGGCCUAAAACAUAAACUUGAAUUAAAUUAAUGUCUUUGGACUUAGAAACUUUUUGAUAAGCCUAAGAUACGAAUUUAAGUUAAAUAAGAGAAAAUUAAAUAACACUAGAAACUUGAUUAAAUUCGAGAAUUUAAGUUAAGCAUAUUAGGAAUGUUUAGCAAUACUAUAAGGGUGCGUUUGGUUCAAGUUAUCCUGACGGGAUUACAGGCAAUCCUGUCGGGAUUACCGUGUUUGGUUCAUCCACUCUGUAAUUAGUCGUUAAUACAGCAUUACAAAUCGAGCAGGAUUACACCGAAAAUAUUAACGAGAGAGGGGUCGUGUAUCUUACAUUACUGAAAACCGGUAAUACUAUAUAUUAUGUAAAAUGAUAAUUUUACCCUUUAACUCUCGAAACGCUUUCAAUACGUUAUUUUAAAAAAAAUAAUUUAAAAUUUUGAAUUCUCAACUUUUAAUUUUUAAUUUUUAAUUUUCAAAUUUAAAUUUUUAAAUUUUAAAUUUUAAACUUUUAAACUUCAAAUUUAAAUUUUAAAUUUAAAUUUUAAAUUUUAAAUUAAAUUUAAAAUUUUAGAUUUUAAGUUUUAAGUUUUAAAUUUUAAAUUUUAAAUUUCAAAUUUCUCAGAUUUUUUUUAAAUUUCAAAUUUCUCAGAUUUUUUUAAUUUCUCAGAUUUUUUUCAAAUUUCAAAUUGCAAAUUGCAAAUUGUAAUUUCAAAUUGUAAUUUCAAAUUUCAAAUUUCAAAAUACAAUGUGGUAUAUGAGGUGUAGUUAUAUGCAUUGUGCGAAAUACAAUGUGGUAUAUGAGGUGUAGUUAUAUGCAUUGUGUAGGUUGUUAUNUCUGAAUUUAAAUUUUGAAUUUCAAAUUUAAAAUCUAAAUAUAAAAUCUUAAAUUGAAAAUUUAAGAUUUAAAAUUUAAAAUUUACAUUUUAAAAUUUAAAAUUUAAAAUUUAAAAAUUUAAAUUAUUUUAAAAAAAAUUGGUAAAAAAAUAUUGUUUGUAAACAGUAAAAAAAAGUUUACGAAAUAUAACUAAGGAUAAUUUUGAAAUAAACUAUACUUUAUUGUCUAGAUUACUAAAUUUUAUAAACAGAACCAAACAUAAUAACGCUAUAAAUACUGCAAUCUAGUAUUACAUUACUGUAUUAAACUAAACGCACUAAUAUAGUAUGAGUAGUAAUCUCAUUUAGAAAUCCAAAAUAUCUGGAUAUAUCGAAAUACUCUGUAAUAUAACAUAACUCGAAUCAAACGGGCCCUAAGAUAAAAGUAGUGAAUGACUUACUGCUUUAUGACAAAACAAUUUAGCCAUUUUUCUUUUAUUUCCAAGUAUGAGAAUGAGAGAUUUAAAAUUCUCUGGUAAGAGGAGCGAAUGCAUUAAUUAUCCAACUAAUGCAAGGUACGUGGCUUGGCGAAACCUUGCAAUUUUGACGGUCGAUAUGAUAUUACGUAUUGCAAAUGAUGUAACAUCUUAUUUCUAUGUAGCAUGGUGAACUUUGGGUGAUCCUAUGUGCCACGCGUAGGUUGGAUUUCGCAGAACUUGGCCUAAAAUAGGCUCGAAACAAUUUUGAUUCCUAGACCUUAAAUCAAACACAACACAAAUUGGCCGAAAAAUGCGACAAAUUUUGUUCAUUUCUGAGUCGGCCUGCUGGCCCGAUGGACCGGCAUGCCUCAUGUACAUUCCUAGGAAAAGUUGGUGAAUACAUGGGAAAAGAUUUAAGUUUCAGAAUAUGUCAUGGAUGUUUUUAUUUUAUUUUUUUAUUUUUAUUUUUUUGGUGGUUGCUUAAAACAAGGAUGAGAUUUGGAAGAAUUCGGCCAAUGAAUAAUAAUAAUAAUAUUAAUAAUAAUAAGUGCAAGGCUAGCUUUGGAGGGUAGAUGGUCACUAGGGACUAGUUGACUUCGAUUGCUAGUGAUGUUGGGCAUCAUCUAUACUAUCUUUGAAUUGUGAAUCCAAAAAUGGUACGGCAGUCCUCUCUGCGAUCGGAGCCUUCGGGCGAGAGCGGGCGCGGGCGCAAGCGCGAGCGGGUGAGCAGGCGCAGGCGAGCCGCACGGGCGAGCCGGCUCGGAUGACGCGGGCGCAGCGCGAGCCCGGUGCGACGACACCGAGCCCGCGCAAGACAAGCCUUUUUUUUUUUUUUUUUCCUUUUUCCUGUGGAACUAGGGAUUAAUGUGGGCCGUGUCGGGCCGACACGGCCCACAUUUAUCCGGGCCAAAAUGGCCGAGGCCAGCCCAGCAGCGCCCAUCCAAAAGUUGGGCUGUGUUUUGUGCCGCCAAAGUUCUGGACCUCAGCCCGGAUGUACGGGCCGAGCCUUGCUUCGGCCAGCCCUUUUUCAUCUUAUUAAUUUUAUUUAAAAAUAUUUAAAAUUUUAAAAAUAAAAAAUAAAAAUAUUAUUUUUUAAAAAUAAUAUAUAAGUUAAAAAAUAUAAAAUUUUAAAAUAUAUUUAUAAAAUAUUAAAAUUUUAAAUUUUUUUGAAUUUUAAAUUUUUUGGACAAAAAUACCUCCACAAUGCAAAUUUUUGGACUGUUGGGAAGGACGUUUUAGUCCAAUAAACUCAUCUCCCAGGUCUAUCAUACCCUUGGGAGGAGCCCCAAAGCCAAACCUCAACUCCCAAUCCUCCAAAGCAUUGAGUAUGGCUGGUGCAAGGGCCCUUGGGAGUUGGGUUGUUAUAUAAACUAGGCUGGGUUAUAAUUAAACAACUCUGCCCGGCCGGCUUGGGAGGUACUGGCCCACGGCCGGCUGGGCCGUGCAGGUCGGCGCCGCGGCAUCCUCUCAGCGCCCGCACGCCCAGGCCCGUGGUGUGCUGCCGUGCCGGGCCACCGGGCCGCGGGAGCAAGGCCCAGCACGACCCGAUUUAACUAGCCGGGCCGACCGGGCAAAAGUGCUACAGUGCUCGUGCCGUGCCUGGCCCGGCCCACUCUCGUGCCGGGCCGGGCGGCCCGCGGCCCGUUUGACACCCCUAUGUGCGACCCACUCCUCUCUCUCUCUUUUUUGUUUUUUUUUCCUUUCUAACUUUCUUAUUUUGUAGUUUUAAAUUUAAAUUUAAAAUUUGAAUUUAAAUUAAAAUUUAAAUUUUAAACCAAUUUUUUUCUUAUUUUGAUGGGUUGCGGGCCGCAUAUAGAAAUUUAAAUUUUGUAUUUAAAUUUAUAGUUUGAAUUGAAUAGAAUUUAAAUUUUUGUAUUUAAAUUUAAAGUUUGAAUUUAAAUUUAAAUUUAAAUGUCAAAUUUAAAUUUUAAAUUAAAUCAAAAUUUUGAUUUCAAACUUAAAUUUUUUAUUUUAAUUUUGAUAUUUUAAUUUAUAUUUAAAAUUUAUAAAUAUAUGACUUGGAAAUCAAAAGAAGAGCUCUCUUUAUUCGAAAAUUUUGUGAGUCCCAUAUUUUUUUUUUCUUUUUAAUUGAGGGUUAAUUGCACCAUUUGUCCCGACUCUUGCACCAUUUUUACUCUAGUCCCUAAUAUUUUUUUGCAAUAGCGAUUAUGUUCCAACUGUUAAAUCCAUAUAGUUUCGCACUUUCUCACUUUAAUACCCUAUAGUUUAAAAUGUAUCAAUUUAUCCCCUUAUUUUGGAAGGGUUGUGGGGUUUAUAUGUAACUUUUUUUUAUAAAUUAAUCGAAUAUUGGUUCCAACCUUAAUUUUAAUGAUAAUAAUUUACUGUAAAAAUACCUUCCCGCUACAUCGCGCGGGCCCUUAACUAGUUAUUAUAUAAUCUACAACCAUGAAAANAAUGUUGAGUUUGAAGGCUAGUUGUUGACCUACUCCUUUGAUACGUCUAAUCGCCAGGACCUCUUUCACUCCCCGCUCUCGCUCCCCUCACUGUCCGCUCUCCCUCAUUAAUUUGUCGCCCUCUCGCUCUGCUCUCGCUCCUCGCUCCGCUCUCGCUCCUCAUUAAUGGCGGGCGGGAUCCGCUGCCGGAUGGCGUUUCGUGGGCUUCUGGUGGAUUGCGUCAUGUUGGGGGUCCGAUCGCGAGUAGAAUCGUCGGCGGCAUGGCGUGCGGGAUGGUCGUGUCAUGCUGAUGUCCUCGUUCCACAGCCGGAUGGCGGUAUCUUCCCUCCCUUCUUCCGUAUGGGCGCCAACCGGGUGGCCGUAUCUUCCCUCCUCUCUACACCCUCCGUACGGGCGUCAGCCGGCAUGGCGGGCGAGAUGGACGCGUCAUGCUGAGGUCCUUGCUCCGCAGCCGGAUGGUGGUAUCUUCCCUCCUCUCUGGACCUUCCGUAUGGCCGUCAACGCUUGGUGGGUUUCUAGUAGGUUAUGUCAUACCGAUGGUUCGAACUCGAGGUUGGGCUGGCGUGUCGUACGUUCGCCCAUGUUGCCUCUUCGUGUGGUUGCGUUGAUCCGAGGAAGGAGGCGGUUGGCUUAGUCUAUCGCAGGCGGCCCUGCCGUACGCCCCCUGUAGUACUCUGAACUUAGCAAAUUGCGGAGUUCGAGAUAGUGGGAUUGGUAAUUGGAGUGUACCCACAAGUUCUAAAGGUUCUAAGAGAAUUUGUGGACAAGUUUGAGAGUGAUCGGACUGCCGGAAGCACAAAAGUGCAUUACUAGUGCAGGAAAUUAGCAGCAGCAGCAUGAGCAGCAGCUUAAGCAGCAGCAGCAGCAGCAGCAGCAGCAGCUGAAGCAGCAGCAUCAGCAGCAUCAGCAGCAGCAGCUGAAUCAGCAGCAGCAACUGGCUGGCAGCAGGGGCUUUAUAGUAAUUUUUCUAUCAUCCUUAUCUUCUAAUCACUACGAUUGACUUCCCCUGUUGGCUUAUUGCAGGGAUAAGCUAAGAAUAGGGUUGCAAGUUCUUUUUUUUUCUCUUUAGAGACUUAGAGAGUUUUCUUUGAGUGAGGUUGCCAAGUUGAGCUGAUUUCUCCUUCUCUCUUGUGUGCUACUGCUUUAGAGGAAGUGAGGAAGUUUUGUUGCUGUUGGAGAGAUAGAUUUAAUAGGGUUUCGGUGGCCUAAACUCUGGAUUCAGCUAAAGUACCUUGUGGUAUGGGUUUAACAUCACUCUCUUUUCUACUAUUUACCAUUAGUAGUAGAAGUAUGUUGAUUUUAAUCCCUCCACUGUCAGCAGGAUUGGGAAAGUUUCAACAAUUAGAGAAGGGUCCUCUUACUGUGAUUUCUUGGCCUACACCCAGGGGAAAGUUAAAGUGAUGCCUUGAGAAGGUGAUUAACUAUUGAAUUGCGUUGUUGAAGCUAUGUUGGAUAUAAUAAUGAAGUUCUAAUGCUGAUUUCGGAUUUGUGCUUUCAACAGUCUUGCAGUCCAUUUUAAGCUGGAUAUCUGAUUCUUGUAAACUGGUUUUGGGUAUACUUCCUCUAAUAGGAGCUGGAGCUCUAAAUGGAAAAGGUGAUAAACAAGUUGUUUCUCUAGUUUGAGCUGAAAUUAAUGAUAUUGAUGCAAUGUUAAUGUUGUUUCUGCGUUCUGUUUUCAGCAGCUAAGAUGGUUGUUUCCAGCUGAUUGUAGUAACUAGUAAGCGCUGAUUUGGAAGAACUCAAAUUGAGUGAAUAGAGGUUCGGUUCUACGCUAAACUUAGCAGGAAAUUUUAUCGAAAUCUGAAGUUACCACCUAGUUUUAAUGCAGAUUUUGGAACCCUGUUACUGCAGGAUUGGGAUUGGGACCUAACUGAGCUAAAUUGAUCAUCACGUGGGGCCGAAUUGAGCUGAGUUCAAGAGGCCCAACUUGGACUAAAGUAGAGGUUUAGCUUCGCCUAAAUUUAGGUGAGAAUUCAACUUUUAGUAUGGGAUUUUAUUAAGUUUGGCAUUGAUACUUAUGUAAUUUCAGCUCUUUGCUGAUUUUGAUCGUGUCAGGAGGACUUGGAGGCUUUGGACUCCUUGCAAGCGCUAGUUCAACGAGUAUCGUCUAUUAGUAGGUGGGUUUGACCUUACCAGAACAAGUGAAGCUCCCCUAUGUACUAUAUGAUGUUCUAGAAUUAUUAGUUAUGUGUGCUUGUGUAAAGAGGUACUAGAUAUAGGAUAUGGAAUGUUUCAACUAGCAUUGUUUAAUAUAAUUAAAUGAAAGCUCUAUGAAGUAGAGAGAGUUAUUCAUGAAUGUUUUGAUGUUCAGUUUACUUGUAUAAAUAAUGGACAAUCUACAUUAUGCUACUAUAAGUAGAGAACAUUUUCUUAUGACCUGAUUAAUAGUACUUUAAUACUAAUAAAUUUCUAAUGGCAUAUGUAAAAUAGCAUUACUUUUACACGAUUGCUAAUCUAGUGGACACUAGUAUGCAUAAUUAUACCUAGAAUCUGACCUAUUGGUAGAGAGUGACACUUUAUAUGUUAAACCAUGACGAUUGAGAACUGUUAGUCUAUGGAUCGUGCUUGCUUGCCAUUGUGCUCAUUCGCACAUGCUUGUGAGGGUCGCUCUCUACAAGCCGGCACUCCGGUGUUGGCCUACGCGACAGUUGCUCGCCCGUGCGGGAUUGGGUGCCGAAGUGGAUUGCCGUGGGGAGUGUAUACUACCACGGGGCCAUUAGGCGCGGCGCAAGUUGGACUACCUCGAGUAGGUCCUUAUGAAUUACACUAAAGUGCUAAAUGAUAACAAUAGUUGAUUAUCACUGAGUAGUGUAUAGUUACAUACCUUCAUGACUUGUUUAUGCUCAUAGUAAUCACUUUUCUUGCUUCUAAUUGAUUGAUAUAUUUGACAGUAGGAUACAUGUUCCUCGUUAAUUAUCAUUGAUAUAUCUAUCCUGCAAUCAAUGUUUUUACAUUUCUAGUAGUACAUCAUAAGCCUAGUGGUGUAAUUCGCCGAGACUGGCGGCUUACCCACUGGGAACUAUUGUUUAAUAGUUCUCCCGCCCUUUUUGUUGUUGCUUUUACAGAGCCAUCCACUACGGGAGAGGGUAGGGAUCGCGGCAAGGGAGUCGCGUCUAGCUAGACAUAGCGUGGAGUCCCGCUAGGUGAUCACCUCACUAUUCUGUGAUACUGACAAGAGUGAGGUGUACCAGUGUAUAGAGAGACUACCUUAGUAUAUAGCUCUUUUGAAGCGACUUGUGACGUAUAUGUGGGUUUAGAAUGUUGUAUUUACAGUUUUGGACUCCUGCCUCUGUUGAGUUUCUAGGAUUUAUACUAUUUCUUUUUCUAUUAGUUGUUGUACUAUUGGUUCAUACUUCGCUCUGAUAUCAUGUUAGAAUCUCUUCAAGAUCCUUCCUUUUGUAACAUGACUUUCGUAGACGUCUUAUAUACUGCAGGUAUAUGACGGUCUGUACAUGUACCGGGUAUGCUUCCGCUGAUACCCGGGCGUGACACCCCCUCUCCCCUACGUCCCCCCCGGUGCACUCGGGGACCGUAUGCCCUUCCUCCCUCCCUCCCUCUUCCCUGCGGCCUUCGCUCGACUACUUAUAAAUACAGGGAUUGCUCUGGGAUUUUGUGGCUUUUCAUGUGCUUCUCCUCUUCUGUUUUCUUUCUAUAUCCUCUAUUCUCUAUCCUCUAUCGUAUAUCCUCUAUUGCUUUGGGGUUCGGUUUGUGGGUUUUUUAUUGAAGUGCUAAGAAAGGUAGGGCCUUUGUUCGGAAGGCAUUUCACUCCUGUGGGUUCUCUCGUAGAGUGCUUAGAAAGUUGCAGCUUUUGUUCGUUGAAGCCUUUUUUGUUGUGGAUUAUGGUUGGUUUCCCUACCGUUUGCGAGCUAUCGUAGCUGAAAGCUGGUUUCUGUACAAUUUGUUUGUUUUUUUUAUUGCUAUGUUUUUUAGGUGUUUCUCUAUUUUGUUGAUUUAUUUCUUCUUGCAUUUUGUUUUUUUGUGAAUUGUUUUGCUGCAGUUAUGGCAUUGGUAGUUGUUACAGUAUGUUUUCGUGAAUUGUUAUGCGAUGUUUGCCAACAGUAUUCGUUCUUGGCUCCGAGGUAUGGUGUCCCGGUUGAAAAUAAUGGAUUGAUUAGUGUUGAUGUUGAAGUUGAGAUCCCUAGAGGUGAUUCUGUUGCUGAGACCAUUAGAAUUUGGGGCAAUCCCUUAUCGGAUGUUGAUCAAUCUGAGGAAGAUGCUGCUCUGCGUGCUGUCGCAAAAUUGCGUGACGAGUAUAUUUGGAGGAUAAAAUAUUUUAUGAGAAUUUGUAUGCCCGGCUUUCGGUGGACCAUACUGUUGUCCGUAAAAAAUAUAAGCGUCUAAAAACUGAGUACAAUUUGUUAAAGGGUUAUUAUAAUGAUCUUAUGUCUGAGAAGGAGCUCUUAGUUGCAUGCUGAGAGGCGUGAGCUCAUGGGAAACAUAGAAAAGUGUUCUGAGGUGCUUCGGCGGCCUAGCAUUCAUGGCAUUCACCCUGCAAGUAGUGGGGAGGGGUCUGGUGAAGACCCGGCGACGCCAUCGGGUUAUAGGGAUUGAAGCUGUUUCAUUGUUGCUUUGUUUUGGCAGUUCUCAGAGGUUUUGGGUUUGUACUCAGGAAAAAAAACUCCUGUAGUUGCAUAGUAUGCUGGUUUAGUUUUUAGCAGGUCUUUUCAGGAAGAACUUUGUGAAGUUUAUGUUGUGAGUUUUGUUCUGGUGGAAAUAAAAGGGUUCUUUAUGUACUGUGUAAUGAUGUUCUUGCCUUUUUUGGUUUGUUUUCUAUGUAUUUACCAGUUUCGGUUGCUGUUUUAAAGGCUUUAGGAGAUAUGCUAUAUGUAAGCUGUUGGUUUUAGGUCUGGUUUUAAAUGAUAACCCAGGAAGAACUUUGUGAAGUUUUUGUUCUUGUGGAAAAAAAAGGUUCUUCCUGUAUUGUUUAAUGAUGUUCUUGCCUUUUUGGAUUUGUUUUCGAUGUACUUUCCAGUUUCGGUUGCUUUUUUAAAGGCUUUAGGAGAUAGGAGAUUAGGCAGUAUUCUAUGGAGCUUUGGGUCUUUUUCCUCUCUUGCUCAGAUCUGGUUUUAUGCUAUAUGUAAGUUGCUGGUUUUAAGUCUUGUUUUAAAUGAUAGGCGGUGGUGAAAGAGACAAUGUGGCGUUCUUGGAAUGGAUGCCUCCUUUCCUUUGAUGAUCAGGUGCUAAAAUACUGUUGCAGAUUGGGUGAGAAAAAAAUGUGGUGCCCUUGGGAUGGAUGGCUUCCUUUUCUUUGAUGAUUGGGUGCUAAAAUGUUGUUGCAUAUUGGAUGGUCCUUUGGUAACUAUUGCAUGCAAGUGGGCAUAUAUCCUAUACUCCAUCCAUCCAAAAAUAAAGUUCUCUUUACUAGCUGGCUUAUUUCCACAUAAGUGUUAUAAAAGUUUUAAUAAAUUUAUAGAUGUUUAAAAGCGUUGUCUAAAUUUGAUGGGCAGGCGUAAGAUUGUAGUUUAACUAUCAGUGUACAAGUAGUAUUUCUGAACUUUUGGAGCUCGGAAUAUUGUAAUACAUCUAAUUAAUUAUUGUCCUAUGUUGAAGAUUUAGUGACAUACAGAUACAUAAUCGCCUUCGCAAAAAAAAAAAAAAAAUUACUGCAGUUAUCCUUGCUUAUGAAGAACUAAGUUGAGAUGUUUUCAUGCUUUUCUUUUAUAUUGAGUCUUUGUGUAAAGCCAGUUUUAGGCUUCCCCUCUAUUGUAAGUAUAACAUACAUGUCCAGAUUUGUCAUAAACCUAUAUAAAAAAUAGGAACGGAUGAUUAUCAGGUUGGGCAUUCUUAUGUUAAACCUGGACAUCCUAUUUUAUUUCACGUUGAUCAUCCUAUUUUCAUAUUUGAGUGGCUGGUUUAUGACUAUUCUUUGCAUUCUAUUUCAAAUGAUGCUAUUUCAAAUGAUUUGAUAGCUAUAUUAAAAAAUAUGAUUUGUGUUAUCUCUUCACAAAUCUCAUGAUGCAUAGUAAAUAUCUAUUAUAUAUGUAACGUAUCGAAACCCGGAAGAAAUUGUCGAACUUUAGCCAAAUUGGUUAAAGUUGUCAAAAGAAAAGUUGGACAAGUUCCAAUUGGCAUUCCAACAAUGUUGGUAGGGCUAAAAAUAGGUUUAAGAGGUGUUAGAAAGGUUUUAGCAUCGAACGGCGCAAAACUGCAUUCUGGAGCAAAGUGUACCAGUACAACCAGCGAGUUGUCACCGGUACAGCCCAGCAGCCGAGCCGAGUGAGCUCUACAGCCCAGCAGCCGAGCCGAGUUUCCUCUCGGGUUGCUCUCUGCGUAAUCGUGUAACCGGUGACAGAACAAAGUGUACCGGUACACUUUGGGUCUGACAGCAAAAAUGAAAACUGCUGCAAAUACAAGUGUUUGGAGGGUUUUGUUGUAAUUGUUACAACAUGUUAAUCCCCAACCCUACUUUUCUCUCUCUCCCGUAGCCAUUUCUUCUCCUCCUCUUAUUUUCCUCUUUCUCUCUCUAGAAACCUCUUGAAAGAGCAAGGAGAAGAUAGAUUAGAAGGCUUGGGAGGUGAUUUUGGGAAGAUUGAAGGCUUGGACUCUCUCCUCCAAGGUGGACAUUGUAGAGCUUUGGGCCAAGGUGAGGUGUUUUUGUAAGAUUAGGGUUAGGGCUUGGGAGUUAUGCCCUAAAGCUUUGGGUUUUGACCUUUUAGCUAGAAUAGAAGCCUCUAAUGGCCUUAGAACACAUGGAAACAAGGUUUACCAUGUGCUCUCAUCGUAGAAACCCUAGGGUUGAGUUUUAUGUCCUAGGAAUGGUUCAAAAGGUUUGGAAAUGGUAUUAGAGAGCUUCUUAGGUGGUUCUAAGCUUAGUUUUGCUUAGCUGCAAGAUCAAUCCCAAGAAAUUUGAUAAGUGGCAUUAUUAGGGCACCCAAUUUGGGGCUUUUGCCUCCGAAUGUUUCUAAAGCAAACUGACCUUGUAGAAACCUAAUUAGGAGUAUUCCCGACGCGUGGGACAACUUCGUUUGACAUUAUGAAAAGAUUUAAAUGAAGUUAUUGAGAAAAGCCUAAUUUGGCUUCGUUUUGCCGCAGGCGAAAAAGUAGGGCUUUAAAAAUCCCAAGAAAUUCAUCGUAGCAUCCCUACAACCGUCUAAGGUGGGUGGUGCAAUCCGAGGAUCUCGGAAUUUCUUUUAUGUCUAAAGUGUCAUAUUUGAGCAUAUGUGUAUUGAGCAUGAAAUUGCAUAGUAGGGUUAUAUGUGAGCAUUUCAUUGCAUGUUGUGAGUACAAAUGCAUGUGGACUACUAGCAAGAUUGUGAGAAUUUAUAAACCCUAUUCAUCCAUGAUAAGUGACAAGAACUUAGUGGGCCUAGUAAACAAAUGUGACAUCUUGACAUAGAAAUAGAAAGCGACAAUAAUGAGUCGAGAAUGUGAGAGUUGGAACACUUAGAAAAUAAGUGUGGCAUGUGUACAAGAACAUAGCAGUGUAUAUGACACUAGUGAACGUAAAGAAUGCAAGUAAAAGUGUGAUAGCGACAUUAUAACAUAACAACCUUAGAAUUAAGGGUCAUAUGUGCAUUGUUUCCUUAUAGUUAAGGAAUGGAUUGAACUUGAUAUCCCUACAGUUAAGAAUUGGAUCAUACUCGCCUGUAAGUCCUUACUCGAGGGUGGUAGCUCCCCCUCGGGCGAUGUUCUCCGGAGUUAUCAUCACUGGGUGUAGUAGCCUCCCCAGAGGACGGUCCCGUCGGGCGUAGUAGUCUCCCCGAUACUGGAAUUUGAGUUGGUGAGUUGUUGAGGCCGAAACCUAUGGGUUAGCCAAGAGAUUGAGCAACGAGAUUGUGACCAUGCAUUCAUCAUGAGUAUAUUAUUGAGCAUUGCAUUAAUUACUGUUCAGCCAUAUUAGCUGCAUUUGUAUAGUUCGGUUACUAUCUAUAUCUCUUUUCUUCUAUUAUGCCUGAUUUAGACCUAGUGGGAAGAUCGGCGUGGUCGAUUGCCGAACCCACUGGAAACUUUAUUGUAAUUCUCACCCCACUAUUUCCACAGAGCCGGGACCGAGCGAGCCGGCGGACGAUCGCGGUAAGGGCAUCGUGCCCUAGUUAGAGACCACCCGAGUUGGUUUCACCUUUUGGUUUAGUUGCAUACUCUUUAGAUAUCAUCUUUUGUAUUCCGAUGAUUUUAGUAUUAUGAACAUGUUAAAUAAAUGAGGUAAAAAGGAUUAUGUUUCAAUGCAAAGUUUAUAUUUUGAGAUCAUGUGAUGUAAAGAGAAGAAAUGAUGCAAAAAUGUAAAUGAUUUUCCUAAGUGUAGUUUAUCACUUUCACUAUUGGCUAUUGCUUGCCCUCGUGCAAGCCAUUGUGUAUGCUUCCGCUUAUGCAAUUUUUAUACUCUAUCUGUACCUGUUGUUGAGCCUUGGGCGGACGGGGGAGGCUCUGUCCGUUCGGCGUCUGUUCGACGCGCUCGAACCGGCCAAAAGGAUCGGCCUCGGGGCGUGACAAUAUACAUGAAUGAGGUUGUUAAGGCUAAUCCUGUGUCGUUUAUAAUUACUAAUUUGACAAAAAUUGUGCUUUCUAGAAAGCUCAUACUGUUAUUGCCUAUCUAUAUUGAAGUUCAGGUUGUGAUAGCCAAUAAAUUAAGCCUUGGCUAGCUAAGCUAGCUCUUUGCACCAGUGCUUAACAAUUAUGCCAAGAUCUCUAUAGGUUACAAAUACCUCGAGGUACUAAUUAAGGUCACUAUUUUAUAGGUUAAGCAUUCUAAGGUUCUAAUUAAGAUUGUCCAAUCUGGACAUUCUAUUUUAUUUUACGAUGAUCAUCCUAUUUUCAUAUCUGAGCGGCUAGUUUAUGACUAUUCUUUGCAUUCUUUUGCCCUGAUUAAUUGUAUUGGUAUCUGGUCGUAAAAUAGGAUCAUCAUAAUACUAUUAGUAUCUGGUUUAUGAUUAUUACUUUUAUUUCAAAUGAUACUAUUUCAAAUGAUUUGUACAUUUUCUAUUUCGUAUAUUAUAUGUUUUCAUAUGUUAUGAAAAUUAUACAUUUUUAAAAAAAAAGAACAUAUUAAUGCCUACAUAGAAGUGCUCACUUAACAAACGUAUAAUAUCAACCUUUACUCACAUAUGCUCAACUUUUUCCGACAACCAUCGAGAACAAGGCGCGGAACUCACUGCUAAAACCCAAAUUUUCAUACCAACUAGCGAACAUAGGACUUUAAGCCUAAGCGCCAAGCCCACAAUCACUCGCAUAAGCACAACAGCUCUUAGUAAAGCGAAAAUGCCACUAGUUCCAGUCUAGCUAAGGACAAGUCCACUAUACCAAACAAUUAAGCAAAACCACAUAAAAAAGAAGAAACUGUCCAGGGAAUCAGAGAGAAAUAUGAAUUGUAUAUAAUGUUAUAAUAGCACCCGCAACUAAACAAAUUAUAUAUUCAAACCAUAGACAAUCUCUCAAUCUAAAUGUAAAUAAGAAAAAACAAAUAGAUAUAAAAAAAUACUUUGUUACUAUACUAAAAAUGAUAAUCAACACCGAAAAAUAUAAAUUUAAAACGAAAAAUGAGAAAGCUAGUUAUAGUUCAAAUAAACAUCUUUCUUGAACUCACCACAAAAAGACAACAAUUGAUUACACAUAUCCGAGUUCAAUGAUAGACAUCUAACUUCCUCCUACGCAAAACAUACUCCCAAUAGUCCCACAUCAAUGGGGAAAAGGGGUUUGUCCAUUGGUGUUACAAGACACUUAAUGCACUAACUGAACCACAACUAAUCCCCGCACCAUCAAUUAUAACACUCCCGGCCGAGCCAUCUUCAAGCCCACAAUACUAUAUAACUCAUUGAUAAACGUACAGCCAAAUUGUAUGGGCCCACAACACAAAGAGAGAUUUAGGUAAACAUAAACUACGUCAUCAAUUCUAAAGUCCAAGGGCCUGGGCUUCAGAUUACACUUUUAGCGUAAUUCAAGAACGAGGCUAUAGUACUAAUACACACUGCACAUCACCUGUGCUCACGUCCCCUCACCAGGCUAGAACGCUAAAACCCUAGGUUCUGGAUGACGGGACUAUCGCGAGACUACGCUCUCACAUGCAAUGGUGAUCACCGCAUUCGAGCUGAUUGUGUCCCAAAUAGAAGAUCUGACGAGGACUCACCGGAGCACACCUUACAACUAACAACAUGGGGAGUCAGUGCAUCACACAUCAUCCCACCAAUCCUAGCUCCCCUGCACCCAACAUCAAUGGAAAACAGCGGUUGUUCUCUCGGGGAUUUAAUAACGAAGAAACAUUAGAACACUAGUAAUAAAUACACUGGGCUUAAAACAUGAUUCAACACAAUUUUGAUGAUCACGAACAGUAUAAAUAGAUUUAGUAAGAGGACAGGUAAAUACUAAAUCACACACACCCGAAGUUUAAUCAAAUAAUAAUGUUGCUUAUAUAUCAGUAACUACCACAUAACCCCCCAACCAUAAUAAAGACUGAAAUAAUCUUAACAACGCGACCCGCAUUAAUUAAUCCCCGGCCAACCCCAAACCAAUGGGUCGUAUGACAUUAGCAGACACCACGUCACCUAUGUGACCUAGCCCACAAAUAAUCCGUCUAACUCUUUUUGCAUGAGGCACAGACGACAGAUACGUCACAUUGCUCGAGGCAGAAUGCCCAUUAUAUCUUUACAUACCGAAUUGCUUAUCUGAGCAACCCACAUCUCUUAGUUGGGCAAUCGACUCUUUGAGAAUUUAUUGUUCAAGCCUAACGAUCCCUCACAUCCUUGACAUGCCUCACCUCAACUAAAAACGACCGCAUCGUCAGCAAAAACAACUUACUGAACACAGAUAUUAAAUACAUGCAUAACUUAACAAAAACGGCCCCCACGCUUCGCAUGCCGAAAUAACAGUUCCGCAUCCAAAUUUUACAAAUAUUUUAAAUCUUAUUUUAAUUGUUAAUUAAUUUAUAUCAUAUUCAAUCUAACAUCAACUCAACAAUUUCAAAAAAACAAUAUAACAAAUUACAAAAUAACAUAUAUACACAAACACAUAAUCAAUUAUCAAAAACAAACAAUAUAAUAAUCUAAUAAACUAAAAAAGACAAAAUACUACAAGAUUUAAUUCAAAAUUAUACCAAAUUUAAAAUUUAAAUAUAAAUCAAUAUACCCACACAUACUAAAACUACUAAAAACCAGUCUUCCAAUUAACCAUCCUCACUGACAAAACCUAAAAACGAUCCCCAAUAUCUCGACAUUACAUCAACCAUCUACUCUCUCUCAUUACAUCUCUAAACGAUCACUCUGUCACCCUCACAGAUCUACCCAACCCUCACCACACCAGACAUACAUCCCCCUCCAAACAAUAUAUAACCUCGCCGAGACAAAGAAGACCCACACCACCAUCACGCACGCCACACAAAACAAAACAAAAACAAAAAAAAAAAAGAAAAAAACCAUCCGCACACGCGACCCAAAAGACACUACUCAGACCACCGCAGUACAAAAUUAACCAAAAGACCAAAACGACUUACAACACCCGACACCCCACCACCAAGCCCCACCAAAUACAAAAACAACACUCACAACAACCGUAACCCCACGCGCCUAGAGCAACCUUAACAAACAUCUUAAAGACAACUCUACAUGACCAGAGCCUCCCACAUCGACCGUCAUAGACAACCUCACGACACGAAGCCAUCGCACGGGCCUACACAGUUCCGCCACACACGAAAUAAAUAUCAGCAGUAAAGUAGUUAGUAUAGAAAAAACAAACCCAACCAGCUCUGAACUUAUUAAGCAUACCGUCAUUAAACAGAUUAAAUCAAAACUCAAACACCUUUCGCCCUAAAACUCAAACAAAUAAAUAUUACAACUUUAAAAAAAAAACGAACCUGCACUCACAAGCGCCAGCGGCCGUGCCUCACUCCGUCCACGAACCUCCCCAGCUGCCCCCACCCCACGCCCCGCCCGCGCCUCGCCGCCAGCCGCCACACGCCACCGCGCCUUCGGCCGCCGCUCCCGAACCUGCCACCACCUCCUCCGCCCCACCGCCCGCCCACACACCCCAGCACCGCCCCUCCAGCUUCGCCUCCCCCCCUGCUUCCAGCCCACCCCCCCCCACAGCCGCCGCAACCCCGCUGAGGGGGGGGGAAGUCGACGAGACAGAUAGACGCUAACAGAGCAACGCCAAGCAGCACACCACGCCAUACACCCCCGACGGCCCAAAGCCACCUCCACCUCCACGCCCCCCGCAGGGGAACGGAACAAAAGCCGAGUGGCGCGUGGUGAGAGAGAGCCCCAAGCGCUAGUCACCGGACCAAGGGUAAGUAAAGACGAGAGGUAAGCGGGGACACCCCGAACCCGCGGCGCCCCAGGCGCCCAGAAACCACCCCAGCCCCCACUCUGGCGCGCGCACCGCCGCACCCUCACGCCCGGGCGCCGCCCCCGGCUCGCCCCGCCACGCCCCCCACCCCCGCACGCGCACACAAAAACGCAACCGGACAGGCCCCCCCACACACACCCAGCCGAACAACCCACAACCCCUCCACCCUGCCAAAUAGUGUCUGUCACCUUGUGAGACAAAAAAACAGAAUAAAAUUAAGCAAAUCAAACCCCAGCAAAAGGCAUACACCUGUUAAAUAAGAUGUAAAUACAUUAAAAAUAAUAUUCCGUAAACCUAUAAGAUCUACCAAACCAAUCCUAAGACUUAUUGUAAAAAUAGCUGUACCCCAAAGAUAACAUCAUAGAAACAGAAAAAAAUCAAACCAAUGGAAUAAAAUACAAGCAAAUCCCACCAAAGACUGAAAUAAUAAUUAAACCGCCAAAAAAAUAAGUAUAAAAAAAUACCCGCACAAAAAAAUAAAGCCCACAAAACAUAAAGAGAGCGCAGCGAAAAUACGCGAAGAUAAGCGAGCGCGGCAAAACAAACCCGACGCCAAGAUCGAAAACUAACAAAAAGAUGCGCGAGCCCACAGAGCAGCGCAUCCGCAAGGUACUGCCCCCCAAACCGACCCCUCCCGCCGCCAAGCAGCCCAGAGUGCAUAAAACAAAACCAAAGAGGCAACAAUAAAAAAGCGGCAGAAAACAAAGAACACCGAAAGAUGAAGUCAAACAAAAAGGAAAAAACAGGGAGACGCGGACAACAAGAUAAGAUAAAACACAAACGCCAGAAAAGAGGAGAAACAAAAACAAAAGAAAUCCCAAAAAGAAACCAAGGAGCGGAGACAAAUAAAACAGAGCACAGAAUGAGAGAGAGAAACAAUACAAAGAACCGCGCAGGCGGACUCAACACAAAAAAAGAAACCACCAUACAAGAGAAAGGGCCGCCAUGUUCGGGAGGCCCGCACCCCGCGCGCGCGCAGAGAGGGCAGGCCUCCCUCUCUCUCUCUGUCUGCUCUCUCUCUCUCUCUUUACCUCUGUUCUCUCUCUCUUUCUCCCCUCUCUUUGUCUGCUCUCUCUCUCUCCCUCUGCUCUCUCUCUCUCUCUCUCCCUCUGUUAUCUCUCUCUCUCGCGCUGAGUCCCCCGCAAAACGCGGGGAGCGCGCCGUAGGAACUCUCGAUUCAAGAGUUAUAUAGAUAGGGGCCUGUCAUUAGCCAUCAUUUUUUACUUUCAAUCAGAUGGUCAAAAUCUUGGAUCUGAGGACUUAAAAAUAACAAGCAACAAGGCUUCGAUGCUAUUAAAGGCAUUCUAGCUCAAUUCCUUUGAUAAAUUUUUUUGCCUUAAUUUUAUAGCUAGGUUUUUUGGUAAAGAAUAGAAGUUAUCUAAACUAUGAACUAUUUUGAAAAAAGCUAUCAACAUUUUUAAAUUUUGAUUUUGCAACCAAACUUUUGAAUUUAUUUGAUUUGAAUUAGCCAAUAGUAUUUUAAUUUCAAAAGUUGAAUGCGUCGUUUAUUUUUGCAGGUUUUGUUAGCAUAUUUUAUAUGAUUCUCGCAACUAUAAAUUUAUUAAAAUAAAUAGUUAACUUAAAUUUUAAAAUUAAAAUACUAUCAAUUGAUUCAAAUUAAACAAAUUGAAAGAUGAAAUAAUAAAUUAAAAGUUUAACAAAUUGGGUGGCCAUAGCUAAGAUAAAUUUCGUAUGAUUUUACCCAUUUUUUAGCUGAAACUUUCUCUCUUCAUUAUCUCCAGAAAAAGAAAUGAAUAUUUCAACACUGAAAGGAAUAUUUCAACACUGUUAUCUAUAUCUAUGACAACCAUGCAUGUUUAACUACAGUAAGAUACAACUGAAUGUGAGCAUGAUUUGUUACAUGAUUUUAGCUUUUUAACAGCUUAAUAAAUGAUUAGUCCAGUGAUUGGUUGAAUCAAAUACUUCAACUAAUUGGGUUAAUUUUAUUUUACUAUUCAACCUUUCAAUCUAUUUGAUUUGAUUCAGUCAACAAUACUCUUACUUUAAAAUUUAAGCUAAUUACUUAUUUUAAUAAACUUAUGGUUAUAAAAAUUGCAUGAAAUAUACUAACUAAAUCUGUAAAAAUAAACGGCGCAUUCAAAUCUUAAAGUCAAAAUGUCGUUGACUGACUCAAAUGAAAGAUAUUGAAACAUUGGGUAGUAAAAUCAAAAUUUUGAAAGAUUUGAUAGCCGUCUCAAAAUGAUCCGUAGUUCAGAUAAAUUAUGUACGUGUUCACCAUCUACAUUGGUCGUUCUAGUUUGUGAGAUAUCUCCAUCCGACUAGAGCAUGUGAUAUAGAUGGAUGCAGCAGUCACAGAAUCUGUUUGAAAGGAAGCAAUAUGGAAUAUAUCCCGAUUAAGCACGAAGUAAACAGAGCCACAAUUAAGGCUUACUAAAGUCUGAGCUCCUUGCCAUUUGCAGCAUUGAUGCUUUCAUGUCUUCCUUUAUCCUAAUUCUUCUACAUCUUACUGUCUUAUUCUGAAAAUGGCAUGUACUUGUUCUGCUCUCUUGAACUCAUUCCUGUCAGUCGAGUUCCCAGCAGUUGGGGCAUCAAACUUUCCUUGAAGAAUUCCUAUCAUUCGAGGUCCUUUCGGGGUUAUCGAUCACCUAGUUCUGCCAUGUCACCUACCUCGACCAUGCUGUCAACACAAUCUAUCCCCUCCCCGCUGAAUCUGUUGAUGCUACAAAUGGUUUGGUGCAAUCCAAUGAGUAUAUCAGGAAGCUGCUUCGCAUGAACCGCCCGAAGUAAACUGGCGGCAACAGCCAAUACUACAACUAUAUAUAUAAUAGUAACACAUAAUGUGCAUGACUAAUGCCGGUUAUCCUGACGGAAAAAAGAUGCACAAAUGUAGUAAAUGUGACUUGCUACAACACUCGAAUGUCAUUCCAAUACCUAGUCACCACUAGCACAUCCUCCGCAUCCACAAUAAACACAUUCAAUAACCUUUUCUUCCCUGAGAUGCUUAGGAACCCUGCAGACGCACGCGGUCGCAAAGUUGUGAUCUCGUAUCUGCAUGCAGCGAAGGCAGCACAGGCGCUCAUAGCUCGGCUGUAUAUUGGUUACUAAAACAAGAAUUAUUGAAUAAUGAAAAGUAACAACAGAACAAAGCAGGCAAUUCAUAUGACAAUAAAGGAACAUGAGUACUGCCUAAAUAUAAAGCCCAAUCCAACCAAAAAGAAAAGGUUACUCUACUCAACUCACCCUACCCAGCCCAUUCGACCCAAUUACAAACAAAAAAGAAAAAAAAGAAAAAGAAAAAUCGAUUAUCAUCUUCCCUUCUUCCCUCACUCAAUCCACUGAAAUCCUAGACAAAGAGCCCUUCCCUCUUGUCCUCAUCCGCCAUCGCAGCCAACGAGAUAGAGUUUCGACGAUUGUUAAAUGUUUAAAUAAGUGUUGGUAAAUUAGCAGCACUCCUGUAACGUAUCGAAACCUCAAUAGCGAUUAUCGUACUUUAGCCAAAUUGGUUAAAGUACCGAGAGAAAUGGAUGGACGAACUCCAGUUGACAUUCCAACAACGUUGGAAGGGUCAAAGUCGAGUCCCGAGGGUGUUAAGCAAGUUUUAGCAUCGCUCGGCGCGAUUUAAAAUGUGAGUAAUGUGAAAGAAAAAGUUGGAUCCUAUGUGGGAUUAUUGGGGUUGUCAUUGGAUUUAUAAGAGACUUAGACACUAGUAAUAAUAACUGGGCUUAAGCAUUUUGGGCCGGUGGUUGGGCCCAACGAGUUAUUGUUGCUAGUGGGCUGGGUCGUUACAUAUGGUAUCAGAGCCGGUUCACCAGCUGGACAUGUGUGGCAAGUCUCGGCUGAGCCAGGGUCUGGAUGACGGGCUAGCGAGAUGAGUCUCACAUCGCCUGGUGAUCUUGGGCUGUGUGUGUAAUUGGACUGACGAGGACGUUAGGGCUUUAACAGGGGGAGUCUGUGACACCCCUAACGACCCAGCCCACUAGCAACAAUAACUCGUUGGGCCCAACCACCGGCCCAAAAUGCUUAAGCCCAGUUAUUAUUACUAGUGUCUAAGUCUCUUAUAAACCCAAUGACAACCCCAUUCCCAUCCGAUGUGGGACUAUUGGGGUGUCACAGACUCCCCCCGUUAAGGCCCUGACGUCCUCGUCAGUCCAAUCACACACACAGCCCAAGAUCACCAGGCGAUGUGAGACUCAUCUCGCUAGCCAGUCAUCCAGACCCUGGCUCAGCCGAGACUCGCCAUGCAUGUCCAGCUGGUGAACCGGCUCUGAUACCAUAUGUAACGACCCAGCCCACUAGCAACAAUAACUCGUUGAGCCCAACCACCGGCCCAAAAUGCUUAAGCCCAGUUAUUAUUACUAGUGUCUAAGUGUAAAUCCAAUGACAACCCCAAUAAUCCCACAUCGGAUGGGAAUGGGGUUGUUAUUGGAUUUAUAAGAGACUUAGACACUAGUAAUAAUAACUGGGCUUAAGCAUUUUGGGCUGGUGUGUCACGCCCCAGACCGCACCACCCGAAAACGGCACCAAUUUGGUCCGAUUCGAGGGCGGCGUGCGCGACCGCCGAACGGACAGAGUCUCCCCUGUCCGCCCAAGGCUAAGCAAUGGAUUGUGUACAACAAGUCCCCAGGAAAAACAACUUGCAUUCAUACACAAUCAACAACGAAGCGAAAGCACAAACAGUGCUAUAACCAAUUAGAGCAAGCGAUACAAGUAAAAUCAUACAAGUAUACAAAAGAGAGAAACUUAACUAUUUAAGCAUAUUUGAAACAUUAAACCUCUUUCGAUAUCAUUUAAACUUUAAACGUUUAAUACAACUUGCAUUCUUUUUCCCAAAAUGAAAAUACAUCAUAUGCUCUCCAAAACCUCACCCUAUACAUCAUCUACUCUCAAAGCAUAACCAAAAGUACAGGGUAUAGAGCUAAUGCAAGUAGGUAAAGUAAGCUAUCUACCAAAAGCUAGGGCGCUAUGCCCUUACCACGAUCCAUCGAUGAAGGUCCGCUAACCUGUGUACCUGUACCCCCAAAACCACACGGGGGUGAGAACUACGAAUAGUUCCCAGUGGGUUCGGCCGCCGACUCCACCGANNNNNNNNNNNNNNNNNNNNNNNNNNNNNNNNNNNNNNNNNNNNNNNNNNNNNNNNNNNNNNNNNNNNNNNNNNNNNNNNNNNNNNNNNNNNNNNNNNNNGUUUUGGGCCACCCACGAGGCCCGCGAGUCCACGUCUGCGACUCGGCGCGCAUGCUCGCAGCAACCAGCAACCGGGACGUUUUUUUGGGCCGAAUUAUUCGCAAAUCGCGUUUAAUUCUCGAAUAAUUAUUUUUACCCAAAAAAAGAAAUUUUUCCGAAUUUUUGGAAAAAAUAUGAAAACGGCCUUUUUAUUCGGCUUUUCAAAAACUCGCGAAUUAUUCUCGAAUAAUUCACGAAUUAACUAACUAUGGAUCCGACAGGAUUUGGGCGAAAGGGAAAAUGGGAGUAGCCGCCCUGCGGGUCGGAGCGGUAGGCUUUCAGAGCGGAGGCAAAAGGCGGACCCAAAACCCGCCCACUACAACAAAUCAGAGCUGUGCCGACGCUUUUUUGGAAACGCUUUGUCAAUGCGUCGGAAAGUCCAAAUUUAAUUCAUAAAUUAACGACGCUUAAUUAAAGCGUCGACAAGGGCGCUGAAAUAAUUUGACGCGAAACAUUUUUCACACGGCGUCAAAAGAGGAAUAGAAAAAUGCCCUAAUUAAACCUCUUUCUCCCUUUUCCCUUUUCCUCUGAGACCUUUUCCCAUUCACUUCCUUCACAGGCGAAGAAGAAGGCACAUGCUUUCCCACCUCCGCUUCGCCGCAGCCUCUCCCACCUCUGCUACGAUCUCUCCCGCCUCUGCCGCUGCUCCCACUCCUCCGCCUACCCCUGCCGCCGCUUCCUCCAGGGACCCAGCUUCUCGCCCGCGUCCACUCCAACCCUUCCUUCACCUCCGCCUCUGCCAUCGAUGAGGACAACGGCGCCGUUGCCCUCGACGCCCCCGACGUUGCUGCCAACAUCUUGAAGGCCCUCGCCCUCGACCUCCUCGACCACCACCUUCCCACUCUCCGAUCCUGUGACGCCGCCCUCUACCCCGUGCAAGCAUGGCGACGCCUUCUUCAGGUGUGCCGGGGUCCAUCUCGCCCUCAACUGCCGGAAUCGCCUCCACGCCGACCUCACCAACCUCAUCGACGCCGUGCACUGCAACCUCGACAACGCCAAGCCCUUCGCCCUCCUCGGCAAGUGCUACGAGCACAAGGGAUACCCCGAGGCCGCAGAGGCUAUCCGGAUUCAAAGGCGGAGACACAAGCAGUUGAGUACAUAUUUUACUUUCCCUGUCGCUCUCCCUGUUUUUUGUUUUUAUUCCAUUUUGCAUAGGGUUUGCAAUAACUUAGACUCUACUCCUCUGCAUAAUUAGUCUUUCAUUCACCAAAGAUUACUUCUACCUAUUGUAUCGUAUUAAUUAAUUAGUAACAAGUGAGGCUCUUGCUCUGCAUAAUAUUAAAUUGGAUGACUAGUGAUUGGAAGGUUUUAAACAUUUCCAUUGUGUAGACUUGUAUAACUGCAGCUUUAUGUAAAAUUGCAUAGUAAUUGAGAGCUUAUACUCUAUAUGCACAUGAGAAAAAAGAUCUAAUUUUUUUUAGUUUGUAGUGUUUUAACAUAGUGAGCUUUUUUGAUCAAAAAAUUUGCUUUGAUGUAUCCUAUAAAAUAUAUUCGCCACCUAAGAAAUAUUCUUGGUUUGUACUUUUACUAAAACAAUAUAUCUUAGCAUCUCUUUUAUUUAGUAUUUUUCUAAAAAUCGUAGAUUGCCCUUAAGUUUUUGUCUAAUAUAUGAAGCUAGUCAUACACUUAGUGUUUAGUUCUUUAUAAUUAAGCUCUAUUAUGUCAAUCUACUAAUUUACAAGUAGUAUUAGACUGCUGAAUAAUAGUUUUAAAAUUUUUAGGAAUACAAUCAUUCCUAAUCAACACUAUUAGCAUUGUUAUUGGCUCAACAAGCUCAUUGGUAAUAGUUAGUCAAAGUGAAAUUUUUGGAUAAGAAGCUUCUGAAAUUUUACAGUACGGAGAGCAACAUCUUCUUGGUAUGGUAAAACUUAUUAUUUUGCAUAUUUUUCUGCAUUUUUCUUCAAUUCUACAAUGUUGUUUCCCUCUUUAUUAACAUAGGAAGUCAUAACAUUUCUUAUUUUUAAUUUGCAAAUAAACUAUGAUCUUUCUUUCUUAUCAAUUCUUUUCUUGUAUUAAUUGGUUAUAGAUGAAGUCCUUUCAUAAUUGUGAUAAUUAUCAUUUAUGAUUAUGGUUUCUAACUGAUUUGUUAUUUUUAAAUUAAUUUGCAUGUUUUUGGAAGUAAGUGUGUUAAUUAAAAUGCUAUGUGUUUGAAUAGUAAGCAGUAUUAGUGUCUAUUCUAUCUAAAUAGUCUAUUAUUUAUGGUUUUUGAGUUGGGGCUCAAUUUCAUAAUGCUAAUUGUUUCUUUCUACCCUAAUCUUUAUAGUUAAGGCUGAAGUUUUUGUUCCUUAUUUUAUCUCUUUUAACAUAUGAGUCAUAAUCAUACAGAUUGUGAUAUAAUGGACAAAAGUUGGAUAAAGAAGCCAAGAAAUGAUAUUGCAUACAUUGAUGGUGUUAAAACUUUUAUUAAAUUUGCUAUGGAGAAAUCAUCCAUAAAUGGCAAGAUUCUAUGCCCAUGUCGAAAGUGUUACAACAAUUCUUCUUUUAUACCAGAAGUUGUUGAAGAACAUUUAGUGUGGAAUGGUUUUUUAUUAGGUUACAAUGUUUGGGUAUUUCAUGGAGAGUCAAUUGUCACAUCCCCAAAUGAAAUCGAAUGCACUUCAUUUGCUCCAAGAUCUAGUAAUGCACAAGAAAGUAGUUCAAGACAAGAUGGUCUAGAGGGAUUGCUGCAAGAUGUUUUUGGAAUUAUGGGCACUAAUUUGAAUAAUGAACAAGUAAUGAAUGAGAUUAUUUCUAAUAGUUUAGAAGAAUGUAAUGACGAGGCGUAUGCUACUGGAUUUCUCGGCGAGCAAAAUUUUAAUGAACGGUCGAUACAUUCAUCACCUAAGGAAACAAUCCGAUAUAGUAACUUGGUGAAAGAUUGUGAUAAAGAACUAUAUCCAGGUUGUAAAAACUUUUCCAAGAUAUCGUUCAUUCUUCACUUAUUCCACCUCAAAUGCUUAAACGGGUGGUCCGAAAAAUCCUUUACAAUGUUGCUCCAAUUAUUAAAAAAUUCAUUUCCUGAAGGCAACUCUUUGCCAUCAUCUUAUUAUGAAGCUAAAAAGCUGAUAAAAGAAUUGGGUCUUGGAUAUGAGAAGAUUCACAUUUGCCCUAAUGAUUGUAUGUUAUAUUGGGGUGAGACGACUAAUCAAGAGUAAUGUAAUGUGUGUGGAUCUUCACGGUGGACAAUGAAUAAAGAUGAUAAUGGUUGUUCUGAUGAUUUGCAAAGGAAGAAAAAGCCGGUCAAGAUAUUACGCUAUUUUCCUUUGAUACCAAGAUUAAAAAGAAUUUAUAUGUCAUCUAAAAUUGCUUCGUUAAUGAGAUGGCAUGAUGAAGGUCGCAUUAAAGAUGGAAUCUUGAGACACCCAGCAGAUGGCCUUGCAUGGAAAUCGUUUGAUGAUCAUUAUCCUGAUUUUUCUUCUGAUCCUCGUAGUGUUAGACUUGGUCUUGCUAGUGACGGAUUCAAUCCUUUUCGAACAAUGAGUACUACUUAUAGCACUUGGCCGGUGAUAUUGAUUCCUUAUAAUUUACCUCCGUGGUUAUGCAUGAAACAAUCGUCAUUCAUUUUAUCAAUGGUCAUUCCCGGUGAAAAAGGUCCAGGUAAUGAUAUUGAUAUUUAUUUGCAACCUUUAAUAGCGGAGUUAAAACAACUUUGGGAUGGUGUUGAUGCUUUUGAUGCUUCUACUAAGCAAAACUUUGUCAUGAAAGGGGCUCUUAUGUGGACUAUUAAUGAUUUUCCUGCCUAUGCUAAUUUAUCUAGUUGGAGCACAAAGGGACGUGUUGCUUGCCCUUGUUGUGGGGUUUCAACCGAUUCACGUUGGUUGAAGCAUAGUAAGAAAUUCUGUUAUAUGGGCCAUCGUCGAUGGUUGGAACCAAAUCAUCCUUUUCGAUAUCAACAAAAUCAAUUUGAUGGCACUAUAGAGUUGCGUUCCGCUCCAAUAUCACCAUCUGGAAUUGAUGUCCUAAGGCAACUACAGGGCAUAACUUAUAAAUAU